UUUGAAAUAGUGGGCGCGAGCUAUUUCGAGUCGAGGAGAGAGUGUUUUGCCGACCAUGGUUUAUGAAUUAUUCGGCACAUGUCAUUUCGGCCGAGGAGAAGGCGCGCUUGGAUGAAGUUACGAACCUACCCUCGAUGUACAACGGGCCAAUUGAAGUGUGUCCCACAUAGGAUGGUAAUUUCGCGUCUCCCAUUUAUUUGCUUGGGCGAAUUCCACCUAGCAGAGAGGAUGUUUAACGGUUCUUUCAAAUUUUGGGAGAAUGAACAUCCACGUCUACCUUACCAAGUCGAUUUGAAUCAAAUUUUGAAAUAUUAGCUUGCCACUUAUUUUUGAGAUGGAGAGAUGAUGCUCGGGAGUAAUGUGUUUUUACAUGCUCGUUGCUAGCGAUUUACUAUAUGACAAAUAGUUGACCCACUCAAAAACGCGAAUCAAACCCAAAAUGAAAUAUCUCAAUUGAAUGAAAUAGCUCGUUCAUUAGGUCAAAAUAGUGAACUAAAUCCAAAAUUGAACACCUCAAUCGAGUAGCAUGUUGUACAUUAUUAUAGUACUCCAUGAACACGUUGAAAGUCAAAUUAAUGAACUUGUUUGAUAUAUGCAUAUAUCCGUUCAUGUGUGGAUUGCAGACAACAUGUUCUCCAAUUUAAAUAUUUGAAUGCAAGUUUAUAUCGAAACAUGGUUUAUAUCAGUCUUUGAUGCAUAAAACGCGACCUCCCCCUCUCCCGGACUCCUGUUCUCUCUCUCUCUCUCUCUGUCUCGCCGACAAUCUUCAAUUAUGUCGCACGCAUCCGACACAAAAACCUUGUUGAUCCCUCUCCCUUUAUAUCCAUCUCUCUCUCUCUCUCUCUCUCUCUCUCUCUCUUUGUGUGUGUGGGGGGUCUUUCUAGUUCGCAUGCAUAUGUACACCAUCUAUAGGUCCCUCUCGCACACUAUGUAUGAUACUCUAGCUAGUCCAAGCUAGAUAUCUUGGGUGCACUCAUCGUACGCACACAAAUUCCUUGGCUCUUUGCCCUAACUCUCUCACGCACCACUAUGUCGUCUCGGAGCUCUUCCCCCCUCUCUUAAACUCUCCAUCCACCUGGGUCACACAUACACAUGCAUAUCUCACUCGCACUCGAUAGGCUCAUCUAAAACUCUAUCUAUCUCCCUCGUUCUCUCUCCAUCUCACACGCACACACACAAUCUCAUGCCCAGCUAGCCAAGUAUGAUUGUCUCUCACUCAAUUGUAGGCACACGUAGUCCCCCCCUAUAUGUAUAUGACUAGCUAAUCUUAGUCUCUUUCACAAACAUGUGCAUGGUCUAUCUCGAUUUCUCUCGGGGCAUCUUUCUAUCGCGCACGCACUCCCUCGAUCUCCCACCCAUAUAGUCCCCUCACGAUCUUGAGGGGAUCUCUCUAUCACAAACACACCCUCUCUCCCUCCCCAUGCGACCAUGCCAUCCAUGUGUCCCUCUCGAUCUUUUUUCCUUGUUGGCCAGACCUCUAUUGGACAUGUGCUACAGGGGUGUCUCUCUCCGUUGCAAACAAUCACACACUAGCUAUCUUCGUGUAUCUCCUCGCCUCGCUUUUCCAUCUCGGAGAUGCAUGCGUGAUAUGUUCGCAUAAGAAACGAAAAAACACACACUCUCUCUAAUUUAUCAUUUAUUGUCACUUUCUCUUUCACACACACAUACUCUUUUUGCACACUUACUCAUUCUCCUUCACACGCACUUGAUCUGUCUCGACUGAGGCACUCUCCUCGGUCCAUAGCAUAUAGAUUUAUUGAAAAGUCAAACAUCACAAAGUUUGACCAUGUACGUGGAGAAAAAGAAUUACAUCUAGUACGACAAACAUAUACCAUUAGAUUCACCAUGAGAUGUAGUUUUGUAUGAUGUAUCCUUGGUAUUGUAGAUAUAAAUAACAUUUGCGUAAACCUGAUCAAAGUUUCCAAAGUUUUACUUCUAAAAAACUUACAUGCACUGCAUUAUUGAGCGGAUGGAAUAUCUCUUUCCCCCUCUCAGCUAUCUGACGCACCACUCAGCCUUAUCGGGGCUCCUCAAUCUCUCUCAAACUUUAUUGGUCAGUUUGGACCUGACCCUCAUGCCUUGAUAGCCGGUACUGCCUGGUGUGGACGUGAGAUGUAAAAUAUUUAUGCCUGGCCAGGCUUGUGUGGUGCUGAAGUGUUUGGUUCAUGCCUGGGCCAGGCAAAGCAUCAACGUCCCAUCAAUCAAUCCAUGCAUCAAUUAUUUAAUGCUAAUAUCCUUCCAUGUUGCUGUUAGCCUCGUUGCCGCACAAGCGUGCAUGAAAUCCAGCCACAACCCCAGGCCAGGCAAAAGAUGCUUAGGACACAAGCCAAACUGGCCUUAUAUCUCCCUAGUUCACACAUACACAUGUCUCGCUCGCGCUAUACAUAUAGACCCAUCCAACACUCUCCGCCCUUGUUCUCUCUCCAUGUGACACGCACCCCCCUAAGUACCAUAAUCCCUCACUCCAUCAUAGGCGCAAGCACUCCCCCCCCCUCCUAAGUAUGACUAUCUCUUACUAGCCAUCAGGAACACACGUAUUGUCUCCUUCCAUCCAUAUGUCUAUCUCCAUAUCUCUCGGGGCAUCUUCUAUCGCGCACACACCUUGUCACUCAAUCUCCCACCCAUGUAGUCCCAUCACGAUCUCCAGGGGAUCUCUCUAUGACAAACAUACACUCUCUCCUCCCCAUGUCUGCAUUUUCUCCGUAAGGUCUCUCUCGCCCUCUCUCCCUUGUUUGUCAGACCCCUCUUGGCCACGUGCUAGGGGUCUUGCUCUCUCGGUUCCAAACAACCACACACUAUCUCCUCACCUUGCCUCCGUUGUCGAAGAUGCAUGUGUGAUAUGUUUGCAUAAGACACACACGCUUUUUCUCUACUUUUAUCGUGUUCACACACACACACACACACUUUUUUCACUCUCUCUCUCUCUCUCUCUAGUUAGGGACUCUGUCACGUCCAUAAGCAUAUGGAUGUUUUGAAAAGUCAAACCUCAGAAAAGUUUGACCAGGCAUAUGUGGAGAAAAACAUUUACAUCUGGAACGAUCAUUAGAUUCAUCACAACAUGUACUUACUUCAUACAUUUAUCUUUGCUAUUGUAGAUAUAAGUAAUUUCUUUAUAAACUUGGUCAAAGUUUCAAAAGUUUGACUUCAAAAAAUAUUGGAACUACAUUAUCGAUGAGAGGGGGUAGCUCUUUCUCUCUCUCUGCUAUCUCUCACGGGCCUUGCUACGUCUUGAGCUUGCGUUGGUUUUCCUUGAAGAGGAGAGGGUGAUGCAGCAAAGUGUAGCGUAAGUAUUUCCCUCAGUUUUGAGAACCAAGGUAUCAAUCCAGUAGGAGGCUCCUCAAAAGUCCCAUGCACCUACACAAACAAACUGAGAACUCACAACCAACGCAAUAAAGGGGUUGUCAAUCCCUUCACGACCACUUACAAAAGUGAGAUCUGGUAGAGAUAAUAUGAUAAAUAUAUUUUUGGUAUUUUAUAAUAUAGAUGCAAAAAUGGAAAGAUGCAAAUAAAAGUAGAUUGAAAGCAAAUAUGAUAAGAGAUAGACCAGGGGGACCAUAGGUUUCACUAGAGGCUUCUCUCGAGAUAGCACAAGUAUUACGGUGGGUGAACAAAUUACUGUCGAGCAAUUGAUAGAAAAGUGCAUAGUUAUGAGAUUAUCUAGGCAUGAUCAUGUAUAUAGGCAUCACGUCCAUAAAAGUAGACCGACUCCUGCCUGCAUCUACUACUAUUACUCCACACAUCGACCGACUCCUGCCUGCAUCUAGAGUAUUAAGUUCAUAAGAACAGAGUAACGCCUUAAGCAAGAUGACAUGAUGUAGAGGGAUAAACACAUGCAAUGUGAUAUAAACCCCAUCUUGUUAUCCUCGAUAGCAACAAUACAAUACGUGUCUUGCAACCCUUUCUGUCACUGGGUAAGAACACCGCAAGAUUGAACCCAAAGCUAAACACUUCUCCCAUGGCAAGAAAGAUCAAUCUAGUAGGCCAAACCAAACUGAUAAUUCGAAGAGACUUGCAAAGAUAACUCAAUCAUACAUAAAAGAAUUCAGAGAAGAUUCAAAUAUUAUUCAUAGAUAAACUUGAUCAUAAACCCAUAAUUCAUCGGAUCUCGACAAACACACCGCAUAAAGAGAUUACAUCGAAUAUAUCUCCACAAGAGAGGGGGAGAACAUUGUAUUGAGAUCCAAAAAGAGAGAAGAAGCCAUCUAGCUAAUAAAUAUGGACCCGUAGGUCUGUGGUAAACUACUCACAACUCAUCCGAGGGGCAAGGAAGUUGAUGUAGAAGCCCUCCAUGGUCGAUUCCCCCUCCGACAGAGUGCCGGCGAAGGCUCCAAGAUGAGAUCUCGCGGAUACAUAAGGUUACAACGGUGGAAAUUGUGUUUCGUGGUGCUCCUGGAUGUUUUCGGGGUCCGUAGGUAUAUAUAGGAGGAAGAAGUACGUCGGUGGAUGCCCGAGGGGCCCACGAGACAGGGGGCGCGCCCUACAGGGGCGGGGGCCGCGGCCCCCUAUCUCGUGGGACCCUCGGGAGCUUCUUUACUUGCACUCCAAGCUCUCCGGAUCAGAUUUGUUCCAAAAAUCACGCUCCCGAAGGUUUCAUUCCGUUUGGAGUCCGUUUGAUAUUCCUUUUCUUUGAAAUACUGAAAUAGGAAAAAAAACAGCAAUAUGGGCUGGGCCUCCGGUUAGUAGGUUAGUCCAAAAAUGAUAUAAAUAUGUAAAAUAAAGCCCAUAAACAUCCAAAAGGGGUAAUAUAAUAGCAUGGAACAAUCAAAAAUUAUAGAUACGUUGGAGACGUAUCAAGCAUCCCCAAGCUUAAUUCCUGCUCGUCCUCGAGUAGGUAAAUGAUAAAAAGAGAAUUUUUGAUGUGGAAUGCUACCUAGCAUAAUUCAUAAUGUAAUUUUCUUCAUUGUGGCAUGAAUGUUCAGAUCCAAAUGAAUACAAAAUAAAAGUUCAUAUUGACAUAAGAAAUAGUAACACUUCAAGCAUACUAGUCAAGGUAAUCAUGUCUUCUCAAAAUAAUAUGGCAAAAGAAAGUUCAUCCCUACAAAAUCAUAUAGUUAGGCUAUGCUUCAUUUUCGUCACACAAAGAUGUUCCCAACUUCUAUACCCCCGAUGACAAGCCAAGAAAUUGUUUCAUACUUAAAUAAUCUCAAACUUUUUCAACCUUCACGCAAUACAUGAGCGUGAGCCAUGGAUAUAGCACUAUGGGUGGAACAGAAUAUGAUGAUGGGGAUUGUGUGGAGAAGACAAAAAAGGAGAAAGUCUCACAUUGAUGAGGAUAAUCAACGGGCUAUGGAGAUGCCCAUCAAUUGAUGUCAACAUAAGGAGUAGGGAUUGCCAUGCAACGGAUGCACUAGAGCUACAAAUGAAUGCUCAACAAAGGAAAACUAAUGGGUGUGCAUCCAACUUGCUUGCUCAUGAAGACCUAGGGCAUUUGAGGAAGCCCAUCGUAGGAAUAUACAAGCCAAGUUCUAUAAUGAAAAAUUCCCACUAGUAUUAAAAAGACAACUUAUGAGACUCACUAUAUGAAAAACAUGGUGCUACUUUGAAGCACAAUAUAUGAGACUCACUACAUGAAGAACAAGGUGCUACUUUGAAGCACAAGUGUGGAAAAAGAGAUAGUAACAUUGCCCUUUUUAUUUAUUUCUUUUUUUCUUUUUUUUAUUUUUCACUUUUUUUUGGGUCUUUCUUUUUUUUUCUUUUGGUCUUUCUUUUUUUUUCUUUUUUCUCUUUGGGCAAUGUUCUAAUAAUGAUGAUCAUCACACUUUACAACAUAAGAAUUACAACUCGAAACCACAAGAUAUGACUCUAUAUGAAUGCCUCCCGCGGUGUACCGGGAUGGUGCAAUGAAUGAAGAGUGACAUAUAUGAAAAAUAAUGCAUGGUGGCUUUGCCACAAAUACGAUGUCAACUACAUGAUCAUGCAAUGGCAAUAUGACAAAAGUAAAGUGUGUCAUGAUAAUGAACGGAGCGGUGGAAAGUUGCAUGGCAAUAUAUCUCGGAAUGGCUAUGGAAAUGCCAUAAUAGGUAGGUAUGGUGGCUGUUUUGAGGAAGAUAUAGGGAGGUUUAUGUGUGAUAGAGCAUAUCGUAUCACGGGGUUUGGAUGCACCGGUGAAGUUUGCACCAACUCACAAGGUGAGAAAGGGCAAUGCACGGUACCGAGGAGGCUAGCAAAGGCGGAAAGGUAAAAGUGCGUAUAAUCCAUGAACUCAACGUUAGUCAAAAGAACUCAUAUACUUAUUGCAAAAAUUUAGAAGUCAUCAAAAAUCAAGUACUAUGCACAUGCUCCUAGGGGGAUAGAUUGGUAGGAAAAGACCAUCGCUCGUCCCCGACCGCCACUCAUAAGGAUGCACAAGCCAAGUACACUUCAUGUUUCAAAUUUGUUACACAACUUUAACCAUACGUGCAUGCUAAGGGACUUGCUAACUUCAACACAAGAAUUCUUUGAAUUCAUAAUCACCCAACUAGCAUGACUUUAAUAUCACUACCUCCAUAUCCCAAAACAAUUAUCAAGUUGAUCAUAACAUCCAAUUCACUUCCUAUGAUAGUUUUUAUUAUACCCAACUUCGAUGCUCAUCAUUCUAGGACCAACUUUAUGAUAAUAGCAAAUACCAUGCUGUUCUAAAAGACUCUCAAAAUAAUAUAAGUGAAGCAUGAGAGACUAGCAAUUUCUUCAAAAUUAAGACACCACCGUGCUCUAAAAGAUAUAAGUGAAGCACUAGAGCAAAAACUAUCAAGCUCAAAAGAUAUAAGUGAAGCACAUAGAGUAUUCUAGCAAAUUUUAAUCAAAUAGGCUUCUCCCAAAAGGUGUGUACAUCAAGUAUUAUUGUGGUAAACUUAAAAAGAAAAGACCAAUAUAAUACACGACGCUCCAAGCAAAACACAUAUCAUGUGGCGAAUAAAAAUAUAGCUCCAACUAAAGUUACCAAUGAACGAAGACGAAAGAGGGGAUGCCUUCCCGGGGCAUCCCCAAGCUUAGGCUUUUGGCUAUUCUUGAAUAUAUUGGGGUGCCAUGGGCAUCCCCAAGCUUAUGCUCUUGCUACCCUUUAUUCCAUAGUCCAUAAAAGCUUUACCCAAAACUUGAAAACAUCACAACACAAAACUCAACAGGAAAUCUUAUAAGCUCCGUUAGUGAAAGAAAAGAAAACCACCACAUAAGGUACUGCAAUGAACUCAUCAUUUAUUUAUUUUGGUGUUAAACCUACUGUAUUCCAACUUCUUUAUGGUUCAUAGACUGAAUUACUAGCCAUAGAUGCAUUGAAAUAAGCAAACAACACAUGAAAAACAGAAUCUGUCAAAAACAGAACAGUCUGUAGCAAUCUGUAACUAGCGCAAACUUCUGGAACUAAAAAAAUCCUACCAAAAUAGGAAGUACUGGAAAAUUUGUCUAUAGAUCAGAAGCAAAAAGAAUCAAUGCAAAAUCUUGUUUCUGUGAUUUAUUGAAUUUUUUCUCGUGGGCGCAAAGUUUCUGUUUUUCAGCAGAAUCAAAUCAACUAUCAUCGUAGGUUAUCCUAUAGGUUCUACUUAGCACAAACACUAAUUAAAAGAUUAAAACACAUCUAAACAGAAGGUAGAUGCAAUAUUUAUUCCUAAACAGGAGCAAAAACAAAAAAACAUAAAGAAAAUUGGGUUGCCUCCCAACUAGCGCUAUCGUUUAACGCCCCUAGCUAGGCAUAAAAGCGAAGAUAGAUUUAACGACUGCCAUAAUAAUAAGAUAGAUCUUGAAGGCUCAUCUCAUAUUCUCUACGUUCAGCGGCAAGUUUUAUUUGAGGCAAGCAAAAGUAAUCAAAAGUGCUAAAUUUAGUGGGACAAAUGUCCCCAAGAUCAAUCACAGGAGGAACGGGUUCUUCCUUUGGCCCUUCAUAGUGCACAACUAUUUCAUCACUAAAAGCAUUCUUUUGGCAAAAUUUUGUGAGCCUAUACUCAAGAGAGUAUCCUAACUCAUUGUUUCAAAGAGAAAAAUCAUUCUUAAGUUCGUUAAUGCAAUCAACCAAGACAUUGAUAGGAACCUUUUUCUAAUGUUUUCAUUAAAAGCAACGUAGUCCGAAGAUUGAAAACGCCUAAAUUCCUCUUGGUCAUAGAGGAUCGCCUCUAUGGGAGGACGACCGGCGUCCACCCUAUAGUGCGCAAAGAUUUCUUUGGCCUCUCUUAUGAUAAAUCUAAACUCGUGAGCCAAAAAUAUAGUAACAGCACGCUUAACAGAAGAAUGAUCAAUAUUAGAGAAUUCUAGGAAAAUUCUUUGUAUACAAGGAUGCAUAUGCAUAAAUUGUCUUUCAAGCUCAACUACAAGCAUAGCGAUAGCAUCCGCAAGACUACUCGUUCUAUGAAGAAUAGAACAUCCCAAGGAAGGUAAAGCACCGGCACAAGUAAUGAAAUCUUGAAUAACACCUUUGCCAAUGAUGUUACCACUGCCGAUUCGAAACUUUUUAGUAUGCAAGAUAGGGGGUUCAUCGGCCGGAGCCUCGAGAUUUUCCAUGUUAUCAUUAUUGUCCAUAUUGACGAUAAUCUCCCCAAUUUCAGACAUAGCGGCAAACAAAAGCAAGGCGGAAGAAAGCGAGCGAAAAAGAGAAUAGGAGAUUGGGAAAGAAAGGGCGAAUAAAAUGGCAAGGGUGAAGUGGGGGAGAGGAAAACGAGAGGCAAAUAAUGUAAAUGCGAGGGAGAUGGGUUUGUGAUGGGUACUUGGUAUGUCUUGACUUGAGCGAAGACCUCCCCAGCAACAGAGCCAGAAAUCCUUCUUGCUACGUCUUGAGCUUGCGUUGGUUUUCCUCAAAGAGGAGAGGGUGAUGCAGCAAAGUGUAGCGUAAGUAUUUCCCUCAGUUUUGAGAACCAAGGUAUCAAUCCAGUAGGAGGCUCCUCAAAAGUCCCACACACCUACACAAACAAACUGAGAACUCGCAACAAACGCAAUAAAGGGCUUGUCAAUCCCUUCACGGCCACUUACGAAAGUGAGAUCUGAUAGAGAUAAUAUGAUAAAUAUAUUUUUGGUAUUUUAUAAUAUAGAUGCAAAAAAAGUAAAGAUGCAAAUAAAAGUAGAUUGAAAGCAAAUAUGAUAAGAGAUAGACCCGGGGGCCAUAGGUUUCACUAGAGGCUUCUCUCGAUAUAGCAUAAGUAUUACGGUGGGUGAACAAAUUACUGUCGAGCAAUUGAUAGAAAAGCGCAUAGUUAUGAGAUUAUCUAGGCAUGAUCAUGUAUAUAGGCAUCAUGUCCAUAACAAGUAGACCGACUCCUGCCUGCACCUACUACUAUUACUCCACACAUCGACCGACUCCUGCCUGCAUCUAGAGUAUUAAGUUCAUAAGAACAGAGUAACGCCUUAAUCAAGAUGACGUGAUGUAGAGGGAUAAACACAUGCAAUAUGAUAUAAACCCCAUCUUGUUAUCCUCGAUGGCAACAAUACAAUACAUGUCUUGCAACCCUUUCUGUCACUGGGUAAGAACACCGCAAAAUUGAACCCAAAGCUAAACACUUCUCCCAUGGCAAGAAAGAUCAAUCUAGUAGGCCAAACCAAACUGAUAAUUCGAAGAGACUUGCAAAGAUAACUCAAUCAUACAUAAAAUAAUUCAGAGAAGAUUCAAAUAUUAUUCAUAGAUAAACAUGAUCAUAAACUCACAAUUCAUCUGAUCUCGAGAAACACACCGCAAAAAGAGAUUACAUUGAAUAGAUCUCCACAAGAGAGGGGGAGAACAUUGUAUUGAGAUCCAACAGGAGAGAAGAAGCCAUCUAGGUAAUAACUAUGGAUCCGUAGGUCUGUGGUAAACUACUCACAACUCAUCGGAGGGGCAAAGGUGUUGAUGUAGAAGCCCUCCAUGGUCGAUUCCCCCUCCGGCAGAGUGUCGACGAAGGCUCCAAGAUGAGAUCUCGCGGAUACAGAAGGUUACGACGGUGGAAAUUGUGUUUCGUGCUGCUCCUGGAUGUUUUCGGGGUCCGUAGGUAUAUAUAGGAGGAAGAAGUACGUCGGUGGACGCCCGAGGGGCCCACGAGACAGGGGGCGCGCCCUACAAGGGGGGCCUAUCUCGUGGGGCCCUCGGGAGCUUCUUGACUUGCACUCCAAGCUCUCUGGAUCAAAUGUGUUCCAAAAAUCACGCUCCCGAAGGUUUCAUUCCAUUUGGACUCCGUUUGAUAUUCCUUUCCUUUGAAAUACUGAAAUAGGCAAAAAACCAGCAAUAUGGCUGGGCCUCCGGUUAGUCGGUUAGUCCCAAAAAUGAUAUAAAUAUGUAAAAUAAAGCCCAUAAACAUCCAAAAGGGGUAAUUGAUACGUCCAUUUUGCAUCAUGCUUUUAUAUCAAUAUUUAUUGCAUUAUGGGCUGUUAUUACACAUUAUAUCUCAAUACUUAUGGCCAUUCUCUCUUAUUUUACAAGGUUUACCAUGAAGAGGGGGAAUGCCGGCAGCUGGAAUUCUGGCUGGAAAAGGAGCAAACGCUGGAAACCUAUUCUGCACAACUCCAAAAGACCUGAGACUCCACGAAACAACUUUUUGGAUUUAUUAAGGAAUUAUGAGCAAAAGAAAUAGGCCAGGGGUUCACACCCUGUCCAGGAGACAGGGGCGCACCCCCCCUAGGGGCGCGCCCCCUAUCUCCUGGGCCCCCUGGUAGGCCUCCGGCAUCCAUCUUCUGCUAUAUGAAGGGUUUUGUCCUAGAAAAAUUUGUGGGCAAGCUUAAGAGACGAAACUCCGCCGCCACGAGGCAGAACCUUGGCGGAAUCAAUCUAGGGCUCUGGCGGAGCUGUUCUGCCGGUGACACUUCCCUCCGAGAGGGGGAAAUCAUCACCAACGUCAUCACAAACGAUCCUCUCAUAGGAAGGGGGUCAAUCUCCAUCAACAUCUUCACCAGCACCAUCUCCUCUCAAACCCUAGUUCAUCUCUUGUAUCCAAAACCACAAAUUGGUACCUGUGGGUUGCUAGUAGUGUUGAUUACUCCUUAUAGUUGAUACUUAUUGGUUUACUUGGUGGAAGAUCAUAUGUUCAGAUCCUUAAUGCAUAUUAUUACACCUCUGAUUAUGAACAUGAAUAUGCUUUGUGAGUAGUUAUGUUUGUUCCUGAGGACAUGGGUGAAGUCUUGCUAUUAUUAGUAGUCAUGUGAAUUUGGUAUUCAUUCGAUAUUUUGAUGAGAUGUAUGUUGUCUCUCCUCUAGUGGUGUUAUGUGAACAUCGACUACAUGACACUUCACCAUUAUUUGGGCCUAGAGGAAGGUAAUAAGUAGAUGAUGGGUUGCUAGAGUGACAGAAGCUUAAACCCUAGUUUAUGCGUUGCUUCGUUAGGGGUUGAUAUGGACCCAUAUGUUUAAUGUUGUGGUUAGGUUUAACUUAAUACUCCUUUUUGUAGUUGCGGACGCUUGCAAUAGGGGUUAAUCAUAAGUGGGAUGCUUGUCCAAGUUAGGGCAGUACCCAAGUGCCGGUCCACCCACAUAUCAAAUUAUCAAAGUACCGAACGCAAAUCAUAUGAGCGUGAUGAAAACUAGCUUGACGAUAAUUCCCAAUGUGUCCUCGGGAGCUCCUUCCCCAUUAUUAGCUCGUUACUAUUUAUCUUAUCACAAAUCUAUCUAUCACCUACUAUUUCAGUGCUUGCAGAGAAAACCUUACUGAAAACCGCUUAUCAUUUCCUUCCGCUCCUUGUUGGGUUCGACACUCUUACUUAUCGAAAGGACUACGAUAGAUCCCCUACACUUGUGGGUCAUCAGUAAUAUAAUAGCAUGGAACAAUCAAAAAUUAUAGAUACGUUGGAGACGUAUCAGGCCUCCCCUCUCACUCGAACUUUCUAUACCGACGGAUUAUACACUCACUGUGUCAACGUAUAGCUCCGUAUAUUGUUUAGUUGACCGGUCAACCAAUCCACAUGCUGCCUUGUCAGCUCGUGUUCUGUAUCUUCGUGUGCUGGCCCAUGUGGCAGUGGGUGAAAAUAAGUAAACUAGAGGCUCAUCUGACACGCGGUGACGUAAACAAAGUUGAAACCACUCGGGGUAGCACCCCACACGCUAGUAAAUUGAGGGCGCAUUGAGGAAAAACUUCUUGUGCGCGAAGGAUGCACUCGCGCACAAUUCACCACUGCGCGGCGGUAUGCACAGAAGGACACCCUCGCGCACACCCAGCACACAAGACACACCAGCACACAUGUACAUCAGCGUCGCCGCCAGUUGAGAUGGACGGCGAGGCAGCCAACAAGCGGAGGCGGCUCGAGCCAAAACCGCAUCCGGCGAGCCUAGACUUCAUCAGCAGCCUCCCCGAUGACAUGCUGCUCGUCGUCAUCGGCCUCCUCCCCACCAAAUCUGCCAUGCGGACCGCCCUGCUCUCCUGGCGGUGGCGCCCCCUCUGGCGCUGCGUCCCCCUCAACCUCACCGUCGACAGUUGCCUCUGCGACGGGGAUUGCGAACGCAUGGCCGCAGUCUCCAAGAUCCUUUCAUCGCUCCCUGGGCUAGCCAGACGCAUUGACAUCCGCAUGUUCAGCACCAACUGCAAGGUCCAACCCAAGUUCGACGAGUGGUUCUUAUCCCCCGCCCUAGAUCAGCUCGAGGAGCUCAGCUUUGAAGCUGGAUGAUGUCGCUCUCUGCCGCCGUCCGCGCUCCGCCUCACGCCAACGCUGCGUCGUGCCAGCUUCAGCUCCUGCUAUCUUCCCCAGAUUAAUGCCGUGCUCGCCCUUCUUCUCCCUCAACUCAAGCAGCUCGACCUCUUCGAUGUUGUCAUCUCGAAGAAGGCUAUGGAGCACCUGCUCCGCAGCUGUACUGCGCUCGAGUACCUUCGUCUUUAGCAGAUCCACGGGUUCAUUAGCCUCAAUGUCGCCUCGACGAAUCUCCGAUGGAUUUAUGUGUCUUGCUGGCCCCGCAACAAGACAUCAAUUGGGAAGAGAUCACUCCAGUUGUUCCAUGUUAUGGUCAUUGAGAAUGCACCUUUCCUUGAGAGAUUGCUUGUAUCGGAUCUAGAAGGUCCAACAAAAAUCAGGAUCAUUGAUGCGCCGAAAUUGACAGCGUUGGUGUACUCGUCUGCCAAAUUCUCUGAACUCUAUAUUGGAUCCGUAAUCUUUUAGGUACAUCACUCAUCUUCUUCUCCGUCCUCUUGAAAUUCACAUUUUUAAAUUUCUUCUUGAUGUAUUUGCGACCAUCUUCCAGAAAAUGAUUCCCACAAGCUUGACCCAGUCCAUGCGCACAGUGAAGAUCUUAGCACUAAAAUCUAUCGGCCCCAAUCUGGAUCAAGUUGUUAGAUUCUUUACAUGCUUUCCGUGCACGGAGAAGCUACUCAUCAAGGUGAAACUUCUUUCCUAUAAGUAAACGGUAAUCACAACGUAGCUCAACUUUUUUGUAAUUUUCCCAAAUUACGAUGACAAGUGUAGUGUUCAAAACUGCAUCUACGCACUGCACCGAAAGAAAUGUUUUUAGUAUUUUUCUCACGUGAUCACCUGCAUCAUUUUUAUGCUGUACUACUAUAGUAGACUAGGCUAGGCAUAGUGGAAAGUAACUUAGACUACUCCAGUAACUCUAUGGUUACCCUAAGAGCAAGUACUACCUCCAUCCUGUUUUACUCUUCCAAUUUUGUAGUAUCAAAAUUUAACCAUAGAUUUAACUGACAAAAUGUUAAUGCAUGUCACUAAGAACAAUAUCGUUGGAUUCAUAUUUGAACAUAAUUUCAAGUGGUGUAAUUUUUAGUGACAUGCAUUGGCAUUUUCUUAGGUAAAUCUAUGGUCAAAAUUUUAUACUAAAUACGAGGUAGUAUUUCCUCUGUCCCAAAAUUCUUGUCUUACAUUUGUUUAGAUACGGAUGUAUCUAAAACUAAAAUGUAACUACAUACACCCGUAUUUAGACAGAUUUAAGACAAGAAUUUUGGGACGGAGGUAGUACAAAAGUGGGCUAUGUAGGCCGAAACAUGUGCCAAAUUCACUUGUGAUGCAUUUGGCAUCGAUGCCCCUCCAUUGCUCACCUGGUGCCCCAAUCUGGAUCACCUACUUUGCUCCGGUGCCAAAUUAACUCACGCAAUGAAAAAACACUGCGUGGGAGAGAGAGAGGACUAAGGCAAUAAAAAACACUUGUUUGGGAGAGUGAGAGGCUGGUGUAGUUGGUUUGAUUAAUUUGUUUAUACAUGUGGGUCUGUGUGCACAGCGGUGCCAACCCUCUCACAUUGCGAGAGCGGUGCCAAAAUCUUUUAAUCUAACAUUGAUGCGUAUUAUGUGGCAUACUUUUGCGAAAUAUGGCAUCGACCACAUAGUGGAAGGCAACAAAUGCCCAAGCUCUUCACGUGCUCCUAGUUAAAUGAGAGGAAACAGAGAGAGAGAGAGAGAGAGUGAGUGAAAAAAUAUCACUAGCCAGCCAACCCUAUCGUAUGAGCGAAUCAUAUUGGUACCUCUUGAUGACACGGCAAUCUUAUGCAGCCAGCUGCUCUAAUAUGUUCUCUUCUUUUGCAGAUAAAAAAGACCUGAAAGUGAAAAAUAUGCUGCACUAUAACAAACUCAUCGAAUGCCUUGAUCUCCAUCUUAUAGAAAUUGAUUUGAUCGACUACCGAGGCGGCACAUCUGAGAUUAAAUUGGCCAGGUUCUUUGUUCUGGAGGCAAGUGUGCUCAAGGUAAUGAGGUUUGGCGUUCUCUGGCGCAACAAUGAAUGGCGUGCUGAUCACCGCAAGCGUCUAAGCUUAAAUGACAAAGUCUCCGCAGAAGCUGAAUUUGUUUUUGAAACAUCAAGUGGCCAGAGACUCGAAACCUUAUUUGCCCAUUAGUGACUUGUCAGGGCGGUGGAUUUUAGUUUGUACGAUAAUGCUGCAUCCACCUAAAGUAACAAAAUUCUUACGUAAACUUCCUUGUAAUUCCCUCUUCGUAGGUGUAGCAUUACUCCUAACAUUUGUAAUAUCAGUUUGAAACUUGUAAUAUUGCCGUGUCCUAUUCCUGCGUUUUCAAAAUCCUGCGAAUUAAACAGGUCCUGAGUUGGUGAUGAUGUUGUGCCUCCCAUCUUUCACCAAUAGCCGUCGGAUCUAGAUCUGACGCAUACAAACCAAGCUUCUCCAUUUUUGCAAAAAGAUGCCCGCACUUGUUCCCUAUUUACAAACAACUCCUUGUUUCCCACAAUCAGCCUUAUAUCCUCCCCACCACAUCUAGAAGGUCGUGGAAAAAUAUGGCACGGUGGCCGCUGCCAGAUCCGUCCACCCCCAAUCUUGGUGUUCCGUGCAAUGCACGGGCAUCUACGCACGGGAAAUUAAGUCGAACAGGGCUAGUUGCAAGCAGGCUAGCUCUACAACCAUGAUGAUAGUGACUGCAGACGGUGAGGCUGACUAUGGUAUGCCAAACACGGCGCCUAUACUCAGGUGUCAUCUCCGGCGCAGGGUCUUGUCACUUCACUGUGAGGAGCAGCACGUAAUAAUUUGACCAACGGGUAGUACAAUGCUAGUACUCCUACUACUACAUUGGUAGUACUACUACUAGUACUAGUAGCACCAACGUCUGAAUUUAGGAGUACUACCACGUCCAUAUGGAUUUUAGUAUUUGACUAGCAAUAUCUAGUAAUGCAUGUCACAAAAAAUGUACUACUCCCUCUGUAAAUAAAUACAUGGUGUUUUGUUCCUAUCGGCGAGAGAACUUAAUGUUUUUUUCUAACUAGAGUACUAAUAGGAUUACAUGCAAUGAACUAAACAUUGCAUGUCAUGUUUGGUAGUCUCAAGUCAUUGAAAGCAUGCACGGCCCACAUCUCUCAUUGGUUGAUAUGUCACGAAAUAAGAAACAAGGAGGGAGUUAAUGCACCGUGCCUAAGUGUUUUGGGAUUAUUUGGUUUUCGUAAGGUGACUUACACAACAUUUUUGUUUACAUGCAUUAACAUUUUAUUAGUUAAAUCAAAGGUAAAAACUUGGCGCAAAAUGCAAAGGGGACCAAUAUACCAGUAAACAUCAAAUUUCUCUCGUUUGGCCCCAACUAGAGGUCCGGUGAGAUGACUGACUAUACUGCACCGGCACGGAGGGGGACGCAGCUUCAUUGACUUACGGCAACUGCCUUUGGGUGAAUGACAUGUGAGCCCAGGGGGUGGCUGGCCCACCUAUCUUACAGCCAAAGGUAGGUGCAGUAGAGGGCCGAGGAGUAGUACAAAAUCCUACGCACCUACGCACGCUAACCAAGGGCAAGAGUGAUCACUCGAAUCGCAGGAUCACUUGACUAGAAGCUAAGCUAGACCCAUGGAGGCUGUGCCAGAUGGUCCAUGACGCCGGCCUAUGGCCUGGCACCGAGGAACGUCUCCAGUUAGUAUUGCUUAAGGCCGCCAGGGCGAGGGGCCGCUUGGAUGACAACUUCGUCUCCUUGUUCGACGAGGUCCUCGUCGGUUUCCUCGACAAGUUCACCGUCGUCAAGAAGCUCGCGGACGACUUUGAUGUAAGCCUCCAGCCGACGCGCCCAGGCUCUGCGAUGCCCACCACCCUCAACGGCCACUAUGGUGACAACUUCUUCAACGCACUGGUGGCCCUGCGACUGCCCGCCGUCGCGCCGGAGAAUGUCCAGCUCAAGGUCUCGCUCGCCGCGCAGCGCCUCGCGCAGUAAGACACCAUCGACAUAAUCACCCACGUCUACACGCAAAUCGUCCACAAGGACUACUACAUGCAAGAGGAGGACGAUAGGACACUGGCCUUCUUGGACCGUAGGGCAACUUUGGACGGCACUGUUCAGAAGCACGUUGAGCUCGCCGCCAGCGCCGCUGCUCCUCACACGUCGGUUGGUGACCCGGCGCACUAGGGCGUGAGGAUGUCGUUGAUGGAUCUGUAUGUAUUUUUAUCUUUCCGUCAAAUCCAUGUAGUAGUAUAUGAUACUACAGUAAUUAUCUUACCUUUCGCAUCAACUUCAUAAUUUUCGUAUGUAGUCCAUGCAUGAACGGCGCCAGAACCUAACUUCUCAUUACUCUAGGCAAAAUCGUUAUUUUCUAUCUAUCGGUCGCGCCAUGGAGUAGAACCAAAUUUUACAAGUUACGAGUUCAAAAGGAAAAGCCUGCCGUGUUCGCGUCGCACCCCCACACGGUUGGUCCGGCACGCCGCUCAAGCGGGAAUGCGUGCGGUGUUGCAUUCUCACUUACAAGUGGGACCGCAGUUGAGCAAACCGACUAUCGGCAAACCCCCACCCCCGCCCACCGCGCGAUGGCUGAGAAAACAGGAGGGGGAAGAGAUGGUUUUAGCACAGACUCCAAGAAAAUUGGUGUCGGAUGGGACUCAUGUGGGUGGCGUGUGCCGUACUGCUAGACGUGAAUGCUAAUUAUGGCCCAAGCCACCCCACUAUAUCGAGCCUAUAUUGAGGUACGUAGAACAAAUUUCCUGCAGUCCGUGCUCAGCCCUCCUCUAUCUCUCUUCUCAGCCAGCCAGCGAACGCGCGGAGCCCAUCGUCUGUUUGCUCACAUGCGGUCCCACAUGUCAGUGAAAAUGCAAGCGGACCCACUGAACCUGCACAUCUUUCACCUCGACGUGCUGGUGAUGAAAAACAAAUCCAAUAAAGAUCUUCGGUGGCCGCUUUUGGAGUUACUCAAGAGUAGUAAGAUUCUAUUUACAGUUUAACCCAAGAUGCACAUCUCGUGGCUUCAACUACCACUCUAUUUUCUUUCAUGACACGACCUGGAUGCUGGAUGUCCCACGUGUCGGCAAAAGGAGGAAGAACCCGACCAAAUCUUCGGUUGUGCUCUCAGAUUAGACUAGUUGUGCUAACUUACAAAAUUUAUUGUGUACUCCCACCGUUCCAAAAUACUUGACUUCCAUUUGUUCAAAAAUGGAUGUACCUAUAUACUAAAACAUAUCUAGAUACAUAUAUAUUUUGACAAAUAGAAGGCAUGUAUUGUGCAACGGAGGGAGUAGAAUGGAUGCAAGUUUUUGUAUUGGGAGGAAGAGUACAUCCAUAUAUUGAUAGAGCACAAUUUAGUAGAUGUUCUAUCACUUUUAGCUAGCACAGAGGCUAGAGAUGAGAUUAGUGCACUUGUUGAUACUCCUACUAGAAUAGAGGCUAGACAUGAGAUUAGAUGCGAGGAAGAAACGUCUACUUCUUUACACUCGAAGAAGAAAGAAGCACGCAAGAUCGAGCCUCCGCAGCUCAACAAUGAAUGCAUCGAGAAGGCACUAAUCCAAUUUACAGGAGUAGUAAAAUGUAUUCUUGUGGUUCUUGUUUUCUUUGGUCUUGCUUUUCUAGUCAAAAUUAUCGUUGGAGUUCAUGCAAAACGGAGGUUCCUUUGGGGUCGUGCGUUGGAGUUGGCCUUACAAGUGGGACCGCAGUUAAGGAAACCGACUAUCGGCAAACCCCACCUCGCCCGCCGCGCGAUGGCUGAAGUUAGAGAAACGACAAGGUUGAAGAGAGUCUCUAGCACGGACUCAAAGAAAUAAUAUGGUGUCAGAUGGAUGUCGUGGUGGUGGCGUGUGCCGUACUUCUGGAUGUUAAUGCUUGUACUGGCCCAUGCCACCCUACUACUCCUACUACUUACUCCUACUAUAUAGUACUAGUAUCGAGGAUUCGAGGUGCUGGUUACGUACAGCGAACACAUUAACAUAUGGCUACAGUAAAAACACCCGCCCGACUCGCGAAGCAUGUGAAGCUAGUACAAAUAGUGUACUAGUACUACUAUUGUUGAUUGGCCUCAUCCGAUAACCUGUUGCAAUGCAUGUACAAUUAUGUAUUCAGAAAAUAUAUUUUUUGCCUCGUGGCACCACUCACUCAGAGAAGCUACUCGAAAGCCAUUCAUAAAUUUAGUAAGUUUAUCACAGGCAUAUCAUUUUAUUACAUACAACAGGUCAUCAACCCACAUCGACAACGGGGAUACAUUAUAAAUACUAAAAUUUUCACCACACAACAAAUAAAAAGCAAUAAAAUGAACUUCAACUCAACCAUUCCUCAGCGUUGGAAACGCUUGCUUUGAACCACAAGUGAUUCUCUGGGACGGGCCAUCCAUUGUUGAUCUGGAGACCAACGCAGGACUGAUCAUCCAGGCUGAAGCGGCCUACUAUAUCAGUACCAGGGUAAGGAACCACCCAAAUGUCCGAGGUAUAGACACAGUUGCUUCGCAUAAAUGGUAGUAACGUUGUGUCAACAGCAGUUGGAUCGCCUUUCACCAUUAUUGGAUUGUUUUGUCCAAGGAAGAGCGAGUUUUCUCCAAGACUAUCAAUUCUGUACCAGGGAGAAGGAGUUGGCACUAGCACACUAGUAUCCAUCCCGAAUACCAUGCAACGGGUGUUGGAAUAGGUCCGGAGAGUGCGACCAUGGGAGACUACACCUGCUUCCUUAGCAGUAACAUCAUCAGUGGGCUGUAUACACACAAGAAGAGGUGAUCCAUCGGAAUUAGUUGCCAGGUGCCACAAAGUAUAUGGGCGCUGCUCGUCCUCAUGCUCGUGAUCAUCACCAUCGUCAUCUCCCCCUUGGUUAUAAAAUUUUUCAAGUAUGGGUGGUGGAAUGUUCACAGGACCUUGGAAACACAAGAAGAAGGUUAAUUAGUAAAGGGAAACUUGCUAACCCGCAUGCAUGUGGAUGAAACAAUUAUAAUUACGGUGGAAGACAAACGUACCGAAACUACGAGGAUUCCAUGCAAAAACAGUGCCACGAGUGGUGGCAGCAAACACAAGGCCCUCGUAUUGAAUUGCAUCACAGUACUCAUCCGUGUACAGAAACUGAUUUUUGAGCAAUAUCCAUCGAGUCAAACCACCAAGGACGGCAACUAGCUUAUCGAAGAUAGCAACAACUUCAUAGUUGUUGUAAUUCCAAGAGCGGUUGGGAACUCAACAAAUUGCUAUCUUCCGUAGAAGACACCCACCAUGAUCGUAUUUGAACGUGCAUACAAUACUAGUGUGCUCAACCUCUGGGCAGUCUGCUGAGAUUUUUGGAAGUGGAACCCGGUCACGAGUGUACACAUUCACAAGUUCCCACUCGCAGUUGGACCCAAUGUAAACAACCCAAUCUCCAUUUGCGCCUACCCAAGCCUUUCCCUCAAGCGAUGGCAUCUUAAUAUCAUACGUAUAAUUAUCAAGCGGCAUCAACUUGCACAGGGCGAGGCCUCCGUCGUGCCGGCGCCAGUCAUCAGGGUCACGGCGAAGAUGAUAGGGGAGAUCAAACCACUCCUUGACUCUUGGGUUCCUUGUAAUGAUGUUAUUAGUUGAGUCGAGAAUGGGCUUGAACGAACCUGCCAUGCUAGCCGAGGUGAUGACAUCGCACCGAUCAAUGAGUUCCUCCACCACGUCAUCUUUCAGAUCAGGGCAAGAAUAACGGGGUCAUUUCCGGCCUGUUCCCUCCAUGGAGAAGACGAUCGAACAAUGGUAGAAGAAAGGGUAAAGGGUUAAAGGAAAAUGGAGGAGGGAGAGGAAGAGCGUGCGACAGCAGUUCCAAAUCGAGAGGGAAAGGCGAAGAGUCGGUGGACGGUUGCCAGUUUGCCAUGAUUCACGAAGAGGCGCCCCGGACUACACGUCCGUUCGGAAAUACUCCUACUACUCGCCGUCGUCUCACUGAUAUGUUGAAACAGGACCACAUGUCAACGAAACAUUGUGUGUAAUUUCUCGUGCAAAAUGCGAUCUGGCCGCGUUGGCCCGAGGUGCCACAUUAGUUAUCGACCUUUAUUUUUUUAGUGGUGUGCCGUUCAGUUUUGAAGCACGACGAACUGGUACUGUACACAGAGAAAAUAUAAACUACUCUACCACUACUCCACCUCCAGUACUAGUAGUAUAAAAAAGAUAUAUAGGCUGGAGCUUCAGCGCUUUCUUGCCAAGGGUUGCCCACUUGCUUCUCACAUUACCACCCUCUCACCAGAUCUAAAAAAGACGGCCCCUCUCUCCCUCCUCACCGGUGGUCAUAGAUCCUCCGGGGAAGAAAAGGACAUGCAGCGUUGACGCACUCGUCGUCGGCGAGCGAGGUCACGCACUGAUGACAAGGCCGUCCUCUCAGACCUAGCGCCCACACGGGAUGGCCUCCGUCCCCAAGCUCGCUGUCGUAGUGUGUGCAGAGGACGACGACCACGAGCGAAGCCACUUCCCGCCGACCCUCAGGUAUGCUACCUCUUUUCGAACCAUACCCUUGUUCUAUUGCCCCAUCUGCCACGUCAUUGCAUGUGGAUCUUUUUCCACUCCACCAUCUUCCCAAUUUCCUAUCCUCUGCUCUGCUGGCCACGCAGACGAAAACCAUAAUUUGCACUAUUAAAGGAAACCCUACUUCAUGCAGACUAAUCCAUGUCUGGGUUGAAUAAGGAAAGGAAGGGAGACUGUACUGUCCAAGAAAAUAGGCAUCGAACCAGAAUCUAGGUUGAAAAGGGGAAAAUCAGUGGCUAAGGAACGAGUCUCGUGUCUCUUGGUUGAAGAAGGGUAGAAAGGCAUGACAACGUGUAGAGAAUGACCAGGUCGAUCGGUUGGUUGUCCUCACAUAGGAAAAAGGUGGCUAAAGAGAACAAAAAUGGGACGUAAUCCACAUAUGCUGCCUGGAUAUUUGUUGCUCUGGGCAACCAUACCUCCCUCACCACUCUGCGUCUGUGGAGGUACAUCGUACUGGUGCGCCCACUGUCUGAAUGGGCCUCCCAUGCUCUUAUUGCCACUUUUUUACUAUUAGUAUAACGCCAGCAGUCAUGUCAAGCAAUGCUACUGCUAAAGUGAAGCCACAUUUAACUAAUGCCGCUCUCAGUCUAAUGCCACCGAUAAAUUUAAGCAAUGCCAUUUAAUGUCACUGGAUUAUUUCAGGGUUAGCUGUUGAUUGUGGAUGUAUUAAAGAUUUUUCAGCUAAGGCGUUCUAAUGCUGUUGCACAGCCAGUAUACCAACGAUGAAACUUGUUACUACCUUCAGAUUUUUGCACUGUUAAUGCGUAUAGCUUACAUACCUCACUUUCAUGAGAUAAGUUAAUUUUUGUGCACAGUGUCACCAAAAUGCCAAGGCGCUGAUGUCAUUUUAUUUUGGUUAAACUGCACAAACAAUUAUGAAGAGAAGAGGAAAGGUCAAGAAUGGGCACUUCCUCCUCCGGCUGUUCUCUUGAUUCGUUCGAUCAAGUUUUUAUGUUUGAUCGAUUAUCAAGAUUGGGAUAGCAAUUUUUAAGGUCCCCCAGAGUUUGAAAUGAUAUUUACCUUGGAGGUACAUGGUUUGCAAUUUUUUUAUACUGUCAUUAGUUAAUAAUGCUAGUUACCUUCAGACUUUUGUAUUUGGUUUAAUGCUCAUGCACAGCUAGUAUACCAAUGAUGAAACUUGUUACCUUUACAUUUUGUAUUGUUAAUUCUUAUAGAAACCUUCCAGUGCUAGAGUUUAUUGAAAUCUGUUCAGUAAAACCAUUAUACUGUACCCGGUAAUAAACUAACUACUCUACUGUUGCACUAGCCACUGGAUUAGUGUAUAUUUGUAGUAUUCGAAUGGUGUUGCAUUAGCGUAUGGACAUAAAUAAAGUGUGGCAAGCUUUCCCAGAUAUGUGAUCAAGAAAACUACUACCUGUUUUUCUAAAUACUAGACGUUUGGGUACUUUAAGUUGAACCGCGAAAACGUCUUAUAUUAAGGAACAGAGGGUGUAGAGUUCACUCAAAUUAUCCGGUAAAGCUAGUCACACCUUUGUUAAAAUUAAUGUUCAUUAUGUUAUCGGAGGAGUGAUACGUCUCCAACGUAUCUAUAAUUUUUUAUUGUUCCAUGCUAUUAUAUUACCUCUUUUGGAUGUUUAUGGACUUUAUUUUACACAUUUAUAUCAUUUUUGGGACUAACCUACUAACCGGAGGCCCAGCACAUAUUGCUGGUUUUUUUUGCCUAUUUCAGUAUUUCGAAGAAAAGGAAUAUCAAACGGAGUCCAAACGGAAUGAAACCUUUCUGAGCGUGAUUUUUGGAACGAACGUGAUCCGGAGAGCUUAGAGUGCAAGUCAAGAAGCUCCCGAGGACCCCACGAGAUAGGGGGCCGCCCCCCCCCCCUCCUAUAGGGCGCGCCCCCUGUCUCGUGGGCCCCUCGGGUGGCCGCCGACGUACUUCUUCCUCCUAUAUAUACCUACGUACCCUGAAAACAUCCAGGAGCACCACGAAGCACAAUUUCCACCGCUGUAACCUUCUGUAUCCGUGAGAUCCCAUCUUGGAGCCUUCGCCGGCACUCUGCCGGAGGAGGAAUCGACCACGGAGGGCUUCUACAUCAACAUCCUUGCCCCUCCGAUGAGUUGUGAGUAGUUUACCACAGACCUACGGGUCCAUAGUUAUUAGCUAGAUGGCUUCUUCUCUCUUUUUGGAUCUCAAUACAAUGUUCUCCCCCUCUCUUGUGGAGAUCUAUUCGAUGUAAUCUCUUUUUGUGGUGUGUUUGUCGAGAUCCGAUGAAUUGUGGGUUUAUGAUCAAGUUUAUCUAUGAAUAAUAUUUGAAUCUUCUCUGAAUUAUUUUAUGUAUGAUUGAGUUAUCUUUGCAAGUCUCUUCGAAUUAUCAGUUUGGUUUGGCCUACUAGAUCGGUCUUUCUUGCCAUAGGAGAAGUGCUUAGCUUUGGGUUCAAUCUUGCGGUGUUCUUACCCAGUGACAGAAAGGGUUGCAAGACACGUAUUGUAUUGUUGCCAUCGAGGAUAACAAGAUGGGGUUUACAUCAUAUUGCAUGAGUUUAUCCCUCUACAUCAUGUCAUCUUGCUUAAUGCGUUACUCUAUUAUUAUGAACUUAAUACUCUAGAUGCAGGCAGGAGUCGGUCGAUGUGUGGAGUAAUAGUAGUAGAUGCAGUCAGGAGUCGAUCUACUUGUUAUGGACGUGAUGCCUAUAUGCAUGAUCAUGCCUAGAUAAUCUCAUAACUAUGCGCUUUUCUAUCAAUUGCUCGACAGUAAUUUGUUCACCCACUGUAAUACUAAUGCUAUCUCGAGAGAAGCCUCUAGUGAAACCUAUGGCCCCCGGGUCUAUCUCUUAUCAUAUUUGCUUUCAAUCUACUUUAUUUGGAUCUUUACUUUUUGCAUCUAUAUUAUAAAAUACCAAAAAUAUAUUUAUCUUAUCUUACUAUCUCUAUCAGAUCUCACUUUCGCAAGUGGCCGUGAAGGGAUUGACAACCCCUUUAUUGCGUUGGUUGCGGUACUCAGUUUGUUUGUGUAGGUGCGUGGGACUUUUGAGGAGCCUCCUACUGGAUUGAUACCUUGGUUCUCAAAACUGAGGGAAAUACUUAUGCUACACUUGCUGCAUCACCCUCUCCUCUUUGGGGAAAACCAACGCUAGCUCAAGACGUAGCAAGAAGGACUUCUGGCGCCGUUGCUGGGGAGGUCUUCGCUCAAGUCAAGACAUACCAAGUACCCAUCGCAAACCAAUCUCCCUCGCAUUUACAUUAUUUGCCAUUUGCCUCUCGUUUUCCUCGCCCCCACUUCACCCUUGCUUUUUUAUUCGCCCUCUCUUUCCCAAUCUCCUCCUCUCUUUUUGCUUGCCUUUUUCCGUUGCCCGUGUGUUUGCUCGUUUGCCUUGUCGUCAUGGCUAGCUCGGUCUUUAUCCCUUCGUCUCUCGACUUUGAAGUUCUUCACUUCAAGCAAGGAUAAGGAGAAAAUUUAAAAGAUGCUUGGUUUAUUAGGAUGUUAGAAUCUUAUCGCAGUUGUGUCGUGGAAGGAGAUUUCAAGAUUUUAAUGCGCAAUUUUUAUGUUGGGUUAACUCCAUCUGUCGGUGUCAAAACCGGCGGAUCUCAGGUAGCGGGUCCCGAUCUGUGCGUCUUAGGCUGAUGGUAACAGGAAGCAAGGGACACAAUGUUUACCCAGGUUCGGGCCCUCUCGAUGGAGGUAAAACCCUACUUCCUGCUUGAUUAAUAUUGAAGAUAUGUGGAAUACAAGAGUAGAUCUACCACGAGAUCAUAGAGGCUAAACCCUAAGAGCUAGCCUAUGAUGGUAUGAUUGUAAUUGUGAUCGGCCUUCUAAGGACCAUGCCCUCCGGUUUAUAUAGACACCAGAGAGCUAGGGUUUACAUGGAGUCAGUUACAAGGAAGGAAACAUAAUAUCCGGAUUGCCAAGCUUGUCUUCCACGCAAAGGAGAGUCCCAUCCGGACACGAGCCGAAGUCUUGAGUCUUGUAUCUUGACGCUUCUAUAGUCCGGAUGAUGUAUAUAGUCCGGCUGUCCGGAUACCCCUUAUCCAGGACUCCCUUUAGCCCCUGAACCAGGCUUCAAUGACGAUGAGUCCGGCGCGCAGUGUUGUCUUCGGCAUUGCAAGGCGGGUUCCUCCUCCGAAUACUCCAAGGUGAUUAUCGAACACGUAGGUUGUGUCCGGAUCUGCAAGAUGAUCUUCACACACCCUUGGCAUAAAUCCAUUCUGCUGGCAAUCUUCGUACGUCGUGCCCCUGCAUCGUGACCUGGUCCAACACGAACCAGCGUUUCCUGCUCCACCUCGACUCGCGUUGCGAGGCAGUUUUAUCGGCACGUCCUGCCAAAGCAGAGAUCGUGUCCCUCUUAAUAUGAGAUCUUUCAUCAAUAUGGGCAUAUGCAACCCCACGGCGCCUGUUGGUAUAAUUCUGUGUUUCUUUUUAGAUAAGUCUCAAGCGGUCACGCUAAGGACUCUUGGUAUUCAUCCCUUUUAUAAAGGGGUCAAGGCGUACGCCUCGUUUCCACCUCUCCUGCUCCUUCUCGCACCUCGAGCUCCAUCGCUCAAAACCUAAGCUCCAACACCCCAGAUCCUCCAGUAUGUCCGGAUCCGAUGCAGCAGGCCGGUGGGUGGCCUCCUCGAUCCAGGAGGAGGAUAUUGCGAAGCUGACGGAGGUUGGAUACCUGACUGUUGAUAUCCAGCACAGGCUUCCUGCUCCGGGGCAAGUCAUCCCCACGCCGGAGCCCAAUGAGAGCGUCGUGUUUACUCCUCACUUCCUCCAAGGCCUAGACCUCACCCUCGACCCCUUUGUGAGGGGGCUCAUGUUCUAUUAUGGCUUGGAUUUCCAUGAUCUGGCUCCAGACACCAUCCUCCAUAUCUCGUCCUUUAUUAUUGUGUGCGAGGCUUUUCUCCACGUCAACCCACACUUCGGCUUGUGGCUAAAGACCUUCAAUGUGAAGCCGAAGAUGAUCGAGGGGCGACAUGCGGAGUGCGGAGGCGCCAUAAUAAGCAGGAAUGCUGAUGCCCCAUGGCCAGAGGGUUCUUUUCCGGAAGUGUCUGACGCAUGGCAACGGAGAUGGUUCUAUGUCACCGCUCCCAGAGGCACAAAGUGGGUAGCUGCCCCAGAGUUCCGUUCAAGCCCUCCAUCACAGUUGGCGAUUUGGACCGAUGUGGGACGGAGUUACGGGCCUGCUGGCGAUGUACCAGAACUACAGAACCGCAUCCGGGAGCUUAUUGGGAGGGACAUAAAUCUUGUCAGCAUAAUUCAAGUAAUGCUAGUCCGGCGGCUAUUGUCGUGCAAACGUCGGCCUCUCCGUAUGUGGGAGUUUAAUCCGAAAGGUUCGUGGACUAUUAAGCACUUCUUCGGCUUGACGCUCGAAGGAAUGUGUAAAUUAUUCUUCGGACCACAAGCAAAGUGUCCCGACACCACCGAGGAUGCGGGCCUAAGCUGCAAUCGCCUAGAUGCCCAAGUAAGUAACCUUAAAGCCGGACACUUCAUUUAUAUUUAUCAUGAUCAUUAUUCUAACACUCCCUCCGCGGCCAGGAAUGGCUUGACAAGGCGAAGAGAAUCAGGUGUCCGGCACCACUUCAUGAAGGCUCGCCUGGUCCCACCAUUGCAAAGGUGCUGGACCGGGCACUCAGCAAAAUCCCUUCAGAGAAGGACGAAGGAAAGGGCAGUGAUGCCGAACUUCACGCGCUGCGCAUCCAGACCGGGAAAAUCGCGAACCCUCCUAUGGAGGAUAGUCGGGAAGGGAAGGUCAAAGCCUCCUCCCCACGCGGGAAGAAGAGGGCCGCCUCCGAAGAUUUGGAGGCCGAAACGCCCAAGCAAGGGAAGAAAACAUCACCAAGGGGCUCUCCCGCGACGGGCGCCCUCACCAUGUCAUGCCCGCCAACGGGCCAGUCCGCUAACGAGUUGUAAGUCAUUCGUUAAUUAGAAGGUGAGAUGUUACUCCGAGAUCCAUAACCAGGACUUCAUUUUUUGUAGUCCGGCGAGCAGCUCUUCUCAACAGAGUUCGUCUUCAGGGGACCUUGGUCCGGAGAUGAUGGAGAGUGAAACCCCAUCCAACUCUCCGCCUCAUGAGGCGGGCGACACGGAGGUGUCGUCACGAAGGAGUCCGGAUAUGCCAAAGCCGGAGGCUAGUAUGUCAGCCGCCCUGAGCCCUGAGCCCUGAGCCGAGAGCGUUUGGAUAUGCCGAAGUCGGAGGCUAGUAUCCGGCAGCCGACCAGUCUAUUGAAGUUCCCGAACUAAGGAGGCAAAUCGGAUCCAUCGAUGCCGAUAUUACGCUGGUGAAUAAACGACUUGAGGAGUCCCAGGGUAUGUGCUUGGUUUUUAUUAUAAUGUGUAGGAAAAUGCCGAAGCGGCAUAAUAUUAAUGCAAUAUGUAUGCACUGCAGAUGGUGCUGUUGCCGUGGAGGCCCUGAGGGCGGAACUUGCUCAAGCGAAGGAGCAAGCUCGGGCAAGCAAUGCGGCUGACCUAAAGGCGGCCGAAGGGUUGAGAGCCGAACAGGCUGCUCGUCGCCGAAGCAAGGAAAAGAUGGCCGAAAUAGCUGAAGAGUUAAAAAAUGCCGCCGACCGGUAUGCACUCCUUGAGAAGGAGAAUAAGGCUAGUUUGGCUGAGCUGGACAAGGCACGUAAUGCAGCCAAGGAGAUGCGGACCGAGAUCCGGAGUAUGCGGGAGGAGCUCCAACAAGCUGACAAAAUCGUGGCUGGGGGCUCGUACUUACUGCGGACGAAGUUCUUGGAUCUGAAGUAUGCUCCCCUGGCGGGUCACAUGAGUCCUGCGGACGCAUAUGCGGACUUUGCGAAUAGUACAGCUGACGCUGUCAAGUUCUUCAAGGGUCAAGGCGAUGAAGAAGUGGAGAAGCUUUUCUGGUCGCAGUUUAAUGCUCCCACUCGCCCGCUGCCGCUUAAUGAGAAGGUGGCUGCUAUGGCGGAGCUCCACAGGCUGUCUGGUCUUGCAAUGCGGUCUGUAAUAGACCAUCUUUGGCCGAAGGGGCCUAAGCCGGACAUCUACUUUGGUUUGGUGCAACAAUUCCUUGGAGCCGUGUCCCGGAUUGAUGCCCUGAGAAGGUCGGCGUGCAUAGAGGGUGCGCGGAUGGCUCUAGCCCCCGUUAAAGCCUAUUGGACGGAUAUGGAGGCCACUGUAAUAGUGAGCCAGGAUCCGGUGGGAGGCCAACAUCCGGCCGAGCACUACUGGGCGCAAGUCACAGAAGGUGCCCGCCUAAUAGAGGCACAGUGCUCGAAGAGUGUUUUAUUCGAGUGAUGAGUCGAAGCAUUGUAGAAAACACUGUUUAGUUUAAUUAUGAGGCUAUGUUUAUACUUGUGCCCGGAAGUAUGAUUGUCCUCCCUUUGCGGCUAUUCUUAUAUGUAUAAGCAGUCUGAAAGAUAGCAGUCGUUGGCUUCAGCAUAAUCACACUUGAUCCAACGUCUUGGUCCGUUAAGGAGGUGAUUGCAUGCCAAACUAGGAAACCGGACUAUAUAGCUAUAACACUUUCGCUUAGCCAUGGGAGUCUAAUGGUGGGGCUACUAUGUAGCCCCUGGUACCACCGCGUGCAUCCGAAUACGGGUGCAUGUGUACAUGGCCGGGAAACGGCCCUUUGUUAAGGCGGAGGAAUCUUUAGGGAUUCCGGUGAGUCUUCCAGUGGUUGAACAGUCUCUCGUUGUAUCAUGACGGUCACUUUUCGGCUUUCUCUACUGAGGCGCUCAUCCGGAAUAACCAGGGCACAAUCGCAGUAGUUCUCCUUUGGCCUGCCUUAGUCGGAUGAUAGCGGAACGUAAGGCGGCAAACCCAGGAGCCGGGAAACCCCAACAUUUUGACCAAAGACAUGAUUCGGAGCUGAUGCAUAUACGGCCAAACUCGUGACGCCGAACACUCCCGAGGGUAUUCGGUCUUUUAUAAAAGAAGAUAGGCUGACAAGAGCCUAUUUUAAGCACUUUAUUUCUAGGUACGUGCAAUUUAGUCUGCCGUGGCCAAAUGCCAAAAACGGCAGUAUCCUCUGUGGGUAUAGAACCCAUGGGAUGGUUAAACAACAAGAGGCAGUAGAAAAGGUUUACACAGGGGCUUAAUCUAAAAAGAAACAUGUUGCACAGGGCCCUGCUACACGUCUGUGCCUUUGUCUCCGUUGCGCCGUAUCCUGGAAGGGUAUCGCGCGAACGUUGUCUAUAAAAAAGAAAAAACUCGUAGGAGGGUGCAACGUAACUAUGCGAUCAAUAAUAAGAGUGUAAGUUGUUGGCCUGCUGAUAAGGUCGAGCCAAGCGUGGGGCUGUAUUAAGUAUAGACAGCCCCUGGUUUCCCUUAUGGGAUUACAUAUACAGUUCCCUGUUUGAAUUUAUCCGGGCUACUGGACUCGUCUAACCGUGUCUGUGGUCGUAAUGACCAAUCAUGUUUUCUAAAACUGGAGGCUGCUUAUAGUCCGGCCAUCAGGGCCGUCGCGUAUUCCUCUGCGCGUGAAGGGCGCUUUAUGAUUCUGUGAACGGUGAUGAUGCCACGGGGACCGGGCAUCUUGAGUGUAAGGUGGCCAUAGUGCGGCAAUGCGUUGAAGCGGGCAAAGGUCGUUCUUCCUAGCAAUGCGUGAUAGCUGCUUUGGAAGGGUGCAACAGUGAAGAGCAGCUCUUCGCUUCUGGAGUUGCCUGGGGAGCCGAAUGUUACUUCCAGCACGACGGAGCCCCUGGCGCAGGCUGCAACGUCUGGUAUCACCCCUUCAAAGGUGGUAUUGCUUUGUUUAAUUCUGGAUGGGUCUAUCCCCAUUCUGCGGACAGUGUCCUCGUAUAUUAAAUUGAGACCACUGCCGCCGUCCAUGAGGACACGGGUGAUACGGUAUCCGUCGAUUAGUGGGUUAAGCACCAAGGCUUGUGAUCCUCCGUGCCGAAUACUAGUUCGGCCGUCCAUGUGAUCAGAAGUGAUCGGACGAGACAUCCAGUAGUGAGACAUGGGUACGACAGGCUCUUCAUCGUGCGCUUCUAUGGGCGCGCGUUUAUGCCCUCUCAUGGAUGUGCGAGUCGUGUGGAUCAUGUUUACUAUUUUAACCUCUGGCGGGAAUUUUUCUGUACCCCAGUGUUCGGCUGGUGAGGUUCAUCCUCGUCUUCGCUUGGUGUGCCCCUCCCCUUGUGUUUGGCAUUUAAUUUGCCGGCCUGCUUGAAGACCCAGCACUCUCUAUGGGUGUGGUUCGUAGGUUUUUUCUGGGUGCCAUGAAUUUGGCAUAGUCUGUCCAGGACUCUGUUUAGACCGGACAGUCCGUCUUUAGUCCCUUUGAAUGGCUUCUUGUUCUGAUCGGGUUGAGAGCCCCUGAAUCUGGCGUUAACUGUCGUCUUAUCCGGGCUCUCUUCCUUGUUUUGGCGUUUGUUUUCAUUUCGCCUUGGCUUCCCGUUGCCAUCCCUUAGUUCGGAUGUGCUGGGGUUGCUGGUGCCUUUACGGGCCAACCAACUAUCCUCACCCGCGCAAAAGCGGGUCAUAAGGCUUGUUAAGGCUGCCAUUGUCCUUGGCUUUUCUUGGCCAAGGUGUCGGGCGAGCCAUUCGUCAUGGAUGCUGUGUUUGAAAGCCGCUAAGGCUUCAGCGUCCGGACAGUCGAAAAUUUGAUUCUUCUUAGUGAGGAAUAUGUUCCAAAGCUUGCGGGCGGACUCUCCGGGCUGUUGGAUUAUGUGACUUAGAUCGUCUGCAUCCGGAGGCCGGACAUAAGUCCCUUGAAAAUUGGCCCUGAAAGCGUCUUCGAGUUCCUCCCAACUCCCAAUUGAGUUUUCGGGGAGGCUUUUCAACCAGUGUCGAGCUGGUCCCUUCAACUUGAGGGGAAGGUAUUUGAUGGCGUGGAGGUCAUCCCCACGAGCCAUGUGAAUAUGCAGGAUAAAAUCCUUGAUCCAGACCCCUUGCCGUCGUAUGCUUCUAUGUUCACAGGUUUAAAGCCUUGUGGGAAUUCAUGGUCCAGUACUUCUUCGGUGAAGCACAGGGGGUGAGCAGCCCCUCUGUAUCUGGACGCAGUGUGGCAUGUAGUCGGCUGUUGUUGUGUCCGGGGUUGAUUCUGAACUGGUAUUUGGCUUUUAUGAGCGUUUGGGUGACCAUAGUCCUGCACUGGGGUAUGUCUUCUAGAUCCAUAUAUGGACCUGGCUGCACCGGUCUUUUUAUCCGGAUGCUCACGUGGAUCGUGCGCAGUGUCCGCGGCCACUCUGUUAUGAAUGUGAGGCGGUACGUCUGGUUUCUUGGUCGGAUUUUCUUUUGGUGGAACGGCCGCGUCGUCGAAUUCUGGCAGUAGCUUGCGCUUCGGAUAGCUUUUCGUAUGGCGGUCAUCGCCAUAUCUUUCUUCAGUGUCUAGCACCCUAUUCCAUCUGCGAAUUAGCUUUUCUUGUGCGGCCUUGAGCCGUUGCUUCUGCUUUUCUAGACUUCUUGCGGUGGCCAUAAGCUUUCUGUGGAGGUUGUCUCGUUGCACUUGUUCGUCCGGGAUGAUGAAUGCAUCGUUGUCCGGACUGUCUUCCUGUUCCUUUGUCGCCUGCUUCCCACUCGGGCCGGACAAAGUUUGGCCCAGAGUCUCCUGACAUAGAGAGAGACUUCAAGGAGUUCAGCAUGUCGCCAAAGGGCGAGUGCUGAAAGAUGUCCGCAGCGGUAAACUCCAUUACCGGAGCCCAACCUGGCUCGGCUGGCUCGAGAGUGAGCGGAAAAGGACCAACAGCCAGAUAUGAGUCCGGGGGUCCGGGGUUACAGGCCUCCACAGAGGUGGGACCCAUGUUCGGCUCCACCGCUGAUAAGUGUGCGGCUUGCGAAGCGGGGUCCAGCCCACCGUCCAUAGGCAACGCAACCUGUCCUGGAUUCAGAUCCAAGGCUGCUUCAGGGAUGAUGUCCCGGGCACUGUCCGACGGCAGGUCUAGGCCAUGCUCGUCGGGGCUGUCCAGCGCUCCUGGCGCAGGCUCGAAUCCGCCGAAGAUCAAGUCUCCGUGGAUAUCCGCCGUGUAGUUCAAGUUUCCGAACCUGAUCUGGUGGCCAGGGGUGAAGCUGUCGAUCUGCUCCAACUGGCCAAGCGAAUUGGCCCGCAGUGCGAAGCCGCCGAACACAAAGAUCUGUCCGGGGAGAAAAGUCUCACCCUGGACCGUGUUGUUGACGGUUGAAGACGCCAUCAAGCCUCGAAGCGACGACAUAGAGGAACUCUCAAUGAAAGCACCAAUGUCGGUGUCAAAACCGGCGGAUCUCGGGUAGGGGGUCCCGAUCUGUGCGUCUUAGGCUAAUGGUAACAGGAAGCAAGAGACACAGUGUUUACCCAGGUUCGGGCCCUCUCGAUGGAGGUAAAACCCUACUUCCUGCUUGAUUAAUAUUGAAGAUAUGUGGAAUACAAGAGUAGAUCUACCACGAGAUCGUAGAGGCUAAACCCUAAGAGCUAGCCUAUGAUGGUAUGAUUGUAAUUGUGAUCGGCCUUCUAAGGACCAUGCCCUCCGGUUUAUAUAGACACCGGAGAGCUAGAGUUUACAUGGAGUCGGUUACAAGGAAGGAAACAUAAUAUCCAGAUCGCCAAGCUUGUCUUCCAUGUAAAGGAGAGUCCCAUCCAGACACGAGCCGAAGUCUUGAGUCUUGUAUCUUGACGCUUCUAUAGUCCGGACGAUGUAUAUAGUCCGGCUGUCCGGAUACCCCCUUAUCCAGGACUCCCUCACCAUCCCAUAGACAACUUCUUGAUUUUGCCGCAAAAGGAUGUUUUAUUGAAAUUGAUCCUAGUUUCGCCUAUGAAAUUAUAGAAGGGAUUGUAGGAGUACUUCCCGUAAAAAAAGGGUUCAUCCUUCUCUCUUGAAGGAACUCAAAUUUUAGAGAAACUUUGUGAGUUGCAAAAAAUUGUUGAACCACUUAAGAAUAUUGGUGGGAGUAUCAACCGCAUGAAUAACUUGAUUGUACUUUGCAAUAAGCGGUUGGAUGCUUUGGAUCAAAGGAUCUCUGAGCAUGAAGGGAAACGCAAAGAGCCUCCUGGACCUGAGCACAACUCCAUUAAAAAGUUGAGUGCCAAAGAUGGCGCCACUUAGAUCUAUCUUUGCUUUUAUGCCUAGCUAGGGGCGUUAAACGAUAGGGCUAGUUGGGAGGCAACCCAAUUUUUCUUUAUGUUUUUUGUUUUUGCUCCUUUUUAGUAAUAAAUCUUGCAUCUACUCUCUGGUUAGAUGUGUUUUUAUCUUUUAGUUAGUGUUUGUGCCAAGUAGAACCUAUAGGAUAAGCUAUGAUGAUAGUUGAUUUGAUUCUGCUGAAAAACAGAAACUUUGCGCUCACGAGAAAAAAUUCAAUAAAUCACAGAAACGGGCUUUUGCAUUUAUUCUUUUUGCUUCUGAUCAAUAAACAAAUUUUCCAGUACGUCCUAUUUUUGUAGGAUUUUUAGAGUUCCAGAAGUUUGCGUUAGUUACAGAUUGCUACAGACUGUUCUGUUUUUGACAGAUUCUGUUGUUCGUGUGUUGUUUGCUUAUUUCAAUGCAUCUAUGGCUAGUAAAUUAGUUUAUAAACCAUAAGGAAGUUGGAAUACAUUAGGUUUAACACAAAAAUAAAUAAAGAAUGAGUUCAUUGCAGUAACUUCUGUGGUGUUUUUUUUCACUAACGGAGCUUAUAAGAUUUCCUGUUGAGUUUUGUGUUGUGAAGUUUUCAAGUUUUGGGUAAAGCUUUUAUGGACUAUGGAAUAAAGAGUGGCAAGAGCCUAAGCUUGAGAAUGCCCAAGGCACCCCAAGAUAUUCAAGAAUAGCCAAAAGCCUAAGCUUGGGGAUGCCCCGGGAAAGCAUCCCCUCUUUCGUCUUCGUUCAUUGGUAACUUUACUUGGAGCUAUAUUUUUAUUCGCCACAUGAUAUGUGUUUUGCUUGGAGCAUCGUGUAUUAUAUUAGUCCUUGCUUUUUAGUUUACCACAAUCAUCCUUGCUGUACACACCUUUUUGGAUAAGCCUAUUUAAUUAGAAUUUGGUAGAAUACUCUAUGUGCUUCACUUAUAUCUUUUGAGCUUGAUAGUUUUUGCUAUAGUACUUCACUUAUAUCUUUUAGAGCACGGUGGUGGCUUGAUUUUAUAGAAAUUGCUAGUCUCUCAUGCUUCACUUAUAUUAUUUUUAGAGUCUUUUAGAAAAGCAUGGUAUUUGCUUUGGUUACAAAUUUGGUCCUAGAAUGAUGAGCAUCCAAGUUGGGUAUAAUAAAAACUAUCAUAGAAAUUGAAUUGGAUGCUAUGAUCAAUUUGUUGCUUGAUAACUGUUUUGAGAUAUAAAGGUAGUAAUGUUAGGGUCAUGCUAGUGGGUAAUUAUGAAAUUGAGAAAUACUUUUGUUGAAGUUGGCAAGUCCCAUAACAUGUACGUAUGGUAAAAGUUGUGUGACAAAUUUGUUGCAUGAGGUGCUCUUUUGAGUGUCUUCCUUAUGAGUGGCAGUCGGGGACGAGCGAUGGAAUUUUUUCCUACCAAUCUAUCCCUCUUGGGGCAUGCGUAGUAGUACUUUGCUUCGAGGGCAAAGUAGACUUUUGCAAUAAAUAUAUGAGUUCUUUUUUUGACUAAUGCGAGUUCGUGGACAUAUGCACACUUAUCCUUUUACUUUGCUAGCCUUUAUUAUUACCGUGCAACUCUCGCCGGUAUUGAAUCCUUUAUUUACCUUCCUCAAAACAGCCACCAUACCUACCUAUUAUGUCAUUUCCAUAGCCAUUCCGAGAUAUAUUGCCAUGCAACUUUCCACCGUUCCGUUUAUUAUGACACGUUUCAUCAUUGUCAUAUUGCUCUUUGCAUGAUCAUGUAGUUGACAUCGUAUUUGUGACAAAGCCACCUUCAUAAUCUUCAUACAUGUCGCUCUUGAUUCAUUGCAUAUCCCGGUACACCGCCGGAGGCAUUCACAUAGAGUCAUAUCUUGUUCUAGCUUUGAGUUGUAGUUUUUGAGUUGUAAAUCCAUAAAAGUGUGAUGAUCUUCAUUAUUAGAGCAUUGUCCUAGUGAGGAAAGGAUGAUGAAGACUAUGAUUACCCCACAAGUCAGGAUGAGGCUUUGGACUUUAUAAAAAUAAAAGAGGCCAAAGAUGCCCACCAAAAAGAAAAGAAAAAGGAAAAAAGAAAAAAAAAGAAAAAAAAGAGAAAAAAGAGAAAAAAGAGAAAAAUCAAAAGAGAGAAAAGGAGAGAAGGGACAAUUGCUACUAUCUCUUUUUCCACACUUGUGCUUCAAAAUAGCAACAUGAACUUCAUGAUAGAGAGUCUCAUAUGUUGUCAAUUUCAUAUACUAGUGGGAAUUUUUCAUUUCAGAACUUGGCUUGUAUAUUUCAAUGAUGGGCUUCCUCAAAGUGCCCUAGGUCUUCGUGAGCAAGCAAGUUGGAUGCACACCCACUUAGUUUCUUUUGUUGAGCUUUCAUAUAUUUAUAGCUCUAGUGCAUCCGUUGUAUGGUAAUUCGUACUCACUCACAUUGAUAUCUAUUAAUGGGCAUCUCCAUACAGCCCGUUAGUACGCCUAGUUGAUGUGAUACUAUCUUCUCCCUUUUUGUCCUCACAACCACCAUAUACCACCAUAGUGCUAUGUCCAUGGCUUGCGCUCAUGUAUUGCGUAAGAGUUGAAAAAGCUGAAGCGCGUUAAAAAGUAUGAACCAAUUGCUCGGCUCGUCAUCGGGGUUGUACAUGAUGGGAGUAUUUUGUGUAAUGGAAAUGAAGCAUGGCCUAACUAUAUGAUUUUGUAGGGAUAAGCUUUCUUUGGCUAUGCUAUUUUGAUAGGACAUGAUUAUUUGUUAGUAUGCUUUGAAGCAUUAUUAUUUUUAUGUUUUAUAAGCUUUUAUCUUGAAUCAUUUGGAUCUGAACAUUCAUGCCACAUGAAAGAAAAUUACAUUAUGAAUUAUGCUAGGUAGCAUUCCACAUCAAAAAUUCUUUUUUUUAUCAUUUACCUACUCGAGGACGAGUAGGAAUUAAGCUUGGGGAUGCUUGAUACGUCUCCACCGUAUCUAUAAUUUUUUAUUGUUCCAUGCUAUUAUAUUACCUCUUUUGGAUGUUUAUGGGCUUUAUUUUACACAUUUAUAUCAUUUUUGGGACUAACCUACUAACCGGAGGCCCAGCCCAUAUUGCUGUUUUUUUGCCUAUUUCAGUAUUUCGAAGAAAAGGAAUACCAAACGGAGUCCAAACGGAAUGAAACCUUUGGGAGCGUGAUUUUUGGAACGAACGUGAUCCGGAGAGCUUGGAGUGCAAGUCAAGAAGCUCCCAAGGACCCCACGAGAUAGGGGGCUGCACCCCCCCUGUAGGGCGCGCCCCCUGUCUCGUGGGCCCCUCGGGCGGCCACCGACGUACUUCGUCCUCCUAUAUAUACCUACGUGCCCCAAAAACAUCAAGGAGCACCAUGAAACACAAUUUCCACUGACGUAACCUUCUGUAUCCGCGAGAUCCCAUCUUGGAGCCUUCGCCGGCACUCUGCUGGAGGGGGAAUCGACCAUGGAGGGCUUCUACAUCGACAUCCUUGCCCGUCCGAUGAGUUGUGAGUAGUUUACCACAGACCUACGGGUCCAUAGUUAUUAGCUAGAUGGCUUCUUCUCUCUUUUUGGAUCUCAAUACAAUGUUCUCCCCCUCUCUUGUGGAGAUCUAUUCGAUGUAAUCUCUUUUUGCGGUGUGUUUGUCGAGAUCCGAUGAAUUGUGGGUUUAUGAUCAAGUUUAUCUAUGAAUAAUAUUUGAAUCUUCUCUGAAUUCUUUUAUGUAUGUUGAGUUAUCUUUGCAAGUCUAUUCGAAUUAUCAGUUUGGUUUGGCCUACUAGAUUGGUGUUUCUUGCCAUGGGAGAAGUGCUUAGCUUUGGGUUCAAUCUUGCGGUGUUCUUACCCAGUGACAGAAAGGGUUGCAAGACACAUAUUGUAUUGUUUCCAUCAAGGAUAACAAUAUGGGGUUUACAUCAUAUUGCAUGAGUUUAUCCCUCUACAUCAUGUCAUCUUGCUUAAUGUGUUACUCUGUUCUUAUGAACUUAAUACUCUAGAUGCAGGCAGGAGUCGGUCGAUGUGUGGAGUAAUAGUAGUAGAUGCAGGCAUGAGUCGGUCUACUUGUUAUGGACGUGAUGCCUAUAUACAUGAUCAUGCCUAGAUAAUCUCAUAACUAUGCGCUUUUUUAUCAAUUGCUCGACAGUAAUUUGUUCACCCACCGUAAUACUUAUGCUAUCUCGAGAGAAGCCUCUAGUGAAACCUAUGGCCCCUGGGUCUAUCUCUUAUCAUAUUUGCUUUCAAUAUACUUUAUUUGCAUAUUUACUUUUUGCAUCUAUAUUAUAAAAUACCAAAAAUAUAUUUAUCUUAUCUUAUUAUCUCUAUCAGAUCUCACUUUCGCAAGUGGCCGUGAAGGGAUUGACAACCCCUUUAUUGCGUUGGUUGCGAGUUCUCAGUUUGUUUGUGUAGAUGCGUGGGACUUUUGAGGAGCCUCCUACUGGAUUGAUACCUUGGUUCUCAAAACUGAGGGAAAUACUUAUGCUACACUUGCUGCAUCACCCUCUCCUCUUCGGGGAAAACCAACGCUAGCUCAAGACGUAGCAAGGAGGUAUGUAUGUUUGUCUCUAAUGCAUGUCGACUACAUACCUGACAUCAUGAUGUAAUGUUAAGUCAUUUUCUUUUGUAUGGUGUAACUGAAUUGAUAAGGCGGUGAUGGCAUUUUAUUUUACUAGAACUGCACAAAUUUUGCUUAAAAGAAGAGGAAAGGUCAGGAAUGGCUCAUUUUUUCAGAAAAAACUAUGUAUGCCUUCCUGACAUCAGCCGUUGUUGCUUUAUUUAUUCCUUCAAACAGGUGGUUAGAAACAGUCUUGCUACCUUUUCCCAUUAAGAAAUUGGAAUGCUUAUAUUUGUGAGUCUAUGCUUCAACUAGUGCCACUUUUAUAGUAAUCACACUUUCAAUAUCUAUGCAAACAGGGAUGCUCGAUUUUAGUGGAACUGCACAAAAAGUCCAACUGGUUCAACAUUAGGAGCAUGUUUUUUUCCAAACCUUUAUAUCCAAUUGGUGGCACUAUGAGCUGUUCAUUACGAAGGUACAUGGUUUGCUACUAUCUUGCUACUCUUUUUGUACUGUCAUUAGAUAGUAAUACUAGUGGUUUGCAUGUGAAUUUAUUGGCAGGGUGGACCUACAUUGGAGGUGCAGGACAAGAUUCAACGAUUGGAUGCUCAAUUUCGGUUGUAUCGAUUUCACCUCUUCCAUCACUGCGAACAUGGAUAUCCUUGGUCUGAUGAAGAAUAGGCGCUAUAUUUCAGCUCUGAACUAGCAAAUCAAUUCAGUAUGAAAUUGUCCAGGGCAAAACAUAACUGUAUCAGAUUGUCCAGUGCAGAACCUAACAGAUGCUAAGCGGAAGAGACAUGUUUAAACCGAAAAUACAUGGUGUGGUAUAUGUUUACUAGCUGCUUGAUAUUUGUGCAGACGGAGAUGUCUGCCUGUUGCUAUUUGGCAAACAAACAAAGUGUCCUCAAUUUUGGUUGAACUGCACAAGAGAAUAGUAUAGUCACUGCAUGCAGUGCCAUUUGAAAAUAGACACAAAGAUUGGAUAGUCACUUCAUGGACUGCAGAAAAGUAAUACUGUACUAUUUACUGGCCAACAGUUGGUGCUUCAUUGCUUUGGUCUGAUUAUACAAUGGGCAUCAUUUUGGCUAAGUUAAAGUUUGUAUUCCGAAAAUAGUCUCGCGGUGUGAUCGAGAGAAGACCAAAUCAUAUUGUAGUGGAUGUUCCUCCAUCAUGUGUGGUUCAUUCUCAUGGUUCCAGCUGUUGGUGAAACCACUUACGUUUGCAAGAGGAAUUGUAGACUUCACAAACAAAUUUGUCUUCCAGUCUGUACUGAAUGUUGGCCAAGAGAAGCAUCCAUGUUAGUAGGAAGAACAUAUGUUUUUUCUAGAUCUUUGCUUUUGGAGCUACAUAUUUUUAUAUGAUCUGUGAAUCAUUGAGAUGCAUUAACAUGUUGAUCUUAUGUAUGGGAAUCGUACUAGUUAGUUUUAGUUGCGACGCAAGAACCGAAGUGGAUGAUCUUUGCUUUUGGAGCCACAUAUUUGUAUAUGAUCUGUGAAUCAUUGAGAUGCAUUAACAGUUACUUAUUUCUGUUUGCUCAGUGUUUACAAGUUACUGAUCGAUCACUAGCUAGCCUACAAAUGCGCUCCUGGCAGUUUUAUUUCGAUGCAAGAAGCGAAGUGGCAGUUUUUUGAAUAAAAAUGCCUACCUCUGAAGAAACUGACAAGCUACACUAUCGGUCCUACGUGGAUAAAAAUGCCUACCUCUGAAGAAACUGACAAGCUACACUAUCGAUCCUACACGGAUAAAUAGCGGAUCACGCACGUACUACCUCAUUUCCGGUUUGCAGGGCUCAAUUCAAGAAACGACCUACUCGAUCCUACACGAAUAAAUAGCGUAUCACGCACGUACUAGUACCUCCUUUCCGGUUUUCAUGGCUUAAUUCAAACCUCUCACCAACCAAGGUACUCCCUCCGUCCGGGUUUAUUAGUCCCAUGAGCAAAGUAGCAAGACCAAGGCAUGGCAAUAAUUAACGGCAUGCAGAAGUUUAAGCCUAAUUAAUUCCAGCGAUUUAAGUGGCUGCAUGCGUGCCCUCGGCUGCGACUUGUUGCAUGCUGCUUCGCGUACUGCCUGUGAGCGAUUCUGAGUGCCUGCAUGUAGCCGGCCGUAAUUAAGGCAGCCAACUGAUGCGGAAAAAGAUACGCUUUAAUUGUUGCGGGCUUUUUAAAUCCGUGGAAUCAUUAUUGACAAGGAGGGAGAUGAUUCGAGUGCACUCGUUUGACUGCCAUGCCGGCGUGCGACCCAGACGGGGCGGGACGGCAUAGUCAUAAUUUUAGUUUCUCUACUUUUCCACGGCAAGAUGGUGCGCUAAGCCAUUAUGCAUUGAAUUCCGAUGACUGUCGCGCUACCUUCCCCCUAUAAGUAUUGUUUCCUGGCCUUCUCAGGUGCCAUCGUGACCCAACUCGCCAUAUCCUCAUAAGCCCCCAUCGGCCCGACAUUGCUCGCCACGUCCGCCAUGCCCCUGCCCGUCCGCGAUAGGCGAUGCCGGAGGCGGUCACCGCCGGAACUAGUGUUCGGUUUUUCACCGGAAGACAGACGGAGGGAGGAGGCAUUCUAUCUGUCUUUAGAUGGUAAUGUGGAGAUCGAGGAGUUGUUGGAGCGCGACCGCAUGGCGGAGGAGCAGGAGUUGUUGGAGCGCGACCGCCUGGCGGAGGAGCAGCGUAUCACCGAUUUGCGCCGCCAGCGGGACAUGGAGCAGCAGCGCACCGACGCCCUGAGUCGUGAGCAGAGCGCCCGCAACUGGGCCGACUAUGUGGAGGGCGGUGCCCGGCAAAUAGCUCUGGAGGCUGUCGGGCACGCACGCGUCCGCGACGCUGAUUUUUACUACCAGCUCGUCAAGUGGGUUUCUCGCUUGGAAGCCGAAGCUUCGGUGGACCACGCCGGCAUGGAAAGGGCCAACGCGCGCGAGCAACGCGCCCUAUCGCACCUCUUGCAAGUCCGAGGCGAGGCGCAGGACGCCAGUGCCGGCGUUUAGCGUGUACCACAGAUGGCGGCCGGCAUCGUCUAGUUAGCUAAGAGUAAGUUAGUACUUGUACGCUACUAGAGUAUUAGUGGGAGUAGAUACUUAACUUGGCUAUGAUGGUUGUCAACGUGGAAGUUCAGUACUCUAUAUGUGGAUCAGACCUGUUACUUUGCUCCGAAUCUUGAACUUUCCGUUUGAACAUAUGGAAUGGGCUGUUAUUUUUUUAAAUGGGUUGUAUUUGUCCUCCACGGGUUUAGAAGCUGACUUGUGGGCCUAGCAAGUUGACGCAUACACAAUCAGGAGAUGAUUGUACGUGGAGAGGAUGAUAGGGACCCGCCAAGGUCAUGGCAGUACGCAAGCAAGUGCCUCCUUAUUUCAAGCCAAUAAAAAAUGGCUCCUUCUAGUGGAUUUCUGACAUCUUGGUCCCAUGCCAUUGACAACGUAGUCAAUAAACGAGAGAAUUGCACAACGAGCGGCUGACACCAGGACCCAGCAGCUCGCCCAGUUAUUUUUGUUUUGGGUUAAUUUGAUAAAUGUCACUCCAAAUCUGGUGUAUCCGAGAAAUGCCACUGCAAUUUCCGAACUUUGAAAAAUGCCAUUUCAUGCCAUUUCUAGUGGCAUUUUUCGAAGUCUGGAGUGGCGUUUUUCAAAGUUUGCAAACUGCAGUGGCGUUUUUCAAAGUUAUCAAAAAUUGCAGUGGCAUUUUUCAAAGUUUGGAAAUUGCAGUGGCAUUUUUAUGAAUCGCCAUAAUUGGAGUGGCAUUUAUCUAAUUUGUUUUUGAGACGGAAGCAGGGUGUCAACUGGGCUGUGCGGAACACUCUAGCCUGUCUAGACAGCCUUUUCUUUUAUGUUUACCACAGACCAGACCAGUAGUUUUUUUUUCUUUUUGAAAAUGGCUAGCCCAGUUUUUUGUGAUUUGUCAAAUAAGUUGCUUUAUCAGGCCUGUUGGGCUGCAAAUCUUUAAUGACGAGGAGAGCUUCAUUCGGCUAGCCGAGAAAAUGGCCUAUCAGUAAUGAGAAAUGGGUUGUACAUUUUUAAAACACAUCAAACCGGAAAUUAGAUUCAAAUAUCUUUUUUUCAUUUUGAGAUUUUAAAUAGCAUUGAUUUUUAUGCGUGGAUAACUUAUUGGAUUUUAUAUUGAUAUACAUUUAUUUUUAAAAUCAGUCUGAAUGUGACUCGAAAUUUCGGGAUUAAAAACAAUUCAGACCCCACCGACAUAUGCAAAAUUUCGUAUAAUUUUUUAACCGUGGCCACAAUAUGGGCUGUAAUGCUAACAAAAAGAAUAUGGGCUCCAAAAAAACCCGUAAGAAUUAGCAAAUGGGCUGUAAAUUAUUUGAAAUAAUGGCAGAUGGGUUGUAAGCUGUUUUCCACAGAUUUGAGGCUUUCCACAGAUGGCAUGUAUACUGUUGGAUGUCCAUCCAACGGCUGUCGUGCUUCUUCAAUCUCUGCUCCAGCUGCUCAAACAAGCGCCGGCGGGACUGCCUGCUCCCUCCUCCCCGCGGCCGGCUGUGCUACCGCGCAGGCCUCACGGCCCCACCGUACUCCCAUCGCUGGCCUAGCCAUCCCUCUACUCACCCACAGUCCCACACCUGUUGUUAUUCUCCGGCGACGGCAGACGAACCAGUAAACCCUCGUACAGUCGUACUUCCCUCCGCGUGGGAAACAACUGUCGAGUCUUCCCUGCCUCCGUGCCGUUCCUUUCCUAGGCCUCGCCGUCGUCCACCGCCUUGGUGCUCUCGGCGUGGCAUGGUCAACAUGGUCAACGACCGACAUGCAUCUAACAGCUGGGUCCACGGCCGCACGCAAGGAAAUGCCUCCUUAUUACGCGCAAAAUAAUGAUUCCUCCACGUGACAUCUGGGACUCACCGAAAGGGCCUCUGUAUUUCGUGAAAAAAACAUUACCGCCGCUGACAGCUCGAACCCACCAGCUAUAUCUUCGCACGCAAGGAAGUGCCUCCUUAUUGCGCACAAAAAAUAUUAAUACUCCCCCUGCUAGCUAGGACCAAGUAUAGUGGGCCUACUAAGUUGACGGGGACGAAGGGCUUUGUCAACUUAGUCAAUAUGCACGAUUCUAGCUCGACUGACCGUACGAUGUCCAUCCAACAGCCGUAGUGCUUCUUCAACCUCUGGUCUUCUUGCUCCAGCCGCCCAAAGCAGCGCCGGUCGUGCCGCCUGCUCAUGCCUCCCGUGGCCGGUUGUGCUGCCGCAGAGGCCUCACUGCCCCCAUACUACUCCCACCGCUGGCCAGGCCAUCCCUUCACUCCACUCACCAACACCCCCUGUUAUUCUACGGCGACGGCAGCGCAGCCGAACCAGUGAACCCUCGUACUCCUCUCCGCGUGGGCAUCCACUAUCGCGUCUUCCCUGACUCCGCGUCGUCCCCUUCCUAGGCCUCGUCAUCGUCCACCGCUGUGGUGCUCUCGGUGCGGCGUGGUCAAUGUGGUCAACGACCGAAUUCCAUCAGAAGAAUACUGUACAUGGAGAGGCUGAUAGCUGGGUCCACGGCAGCCGCAAGGAAGUGCCUCCUUAUUACGCGGAAAAUAAUUAUUCCCUCCACCUGACAGCAGGGACCCACCGAAUGGGCCACCUGUAUUUCGCGAAAAAAAUGUUUGCCCCUGACUGCUGGGACCCACCCGACGGGCCACCGUAUUUCAUGAAAAAAUGUUCCCCCUGCUAUCAGCUCGGACCCGCCGGAAGUGCCUCCUAAUUACGGACAAAAAAAAUGAAUACCCCCCUGCUAGUUAGGACCCGCUUUGGUGGGAGGCUGACUUGUGGUCCUACUAAGUUUACGGGGACGGAGGGUUUUGUAAACUUAGUCAAUAUAAACGAUUCUAGCUCCACUGACCGUACGAUGUCCAUCCAACGGCCGUAGUGCUUCUUUAUCUUCUGGUCUUCUUGCUCCAGCCGCCCAAAGCAGCGCCGGUCGUGCCACAUGCUCCUGCCUCCCGUGGCCGGAUGUGCUGCCGCGGAGGCCUCACCGCCCCCUACUAUUCCCACCACUGGCCAGGCCCUGCAGCGACGGCUGCCUCACACCGCAGCCGAACCAGUGAACCCUCGUACUCCUCUCCGCGUGGGCUUCCACUGUCGCGUCUUCCCCGGCUCCCCGUUGUCCCCUUCCUAGGCCUCGCCGUCGUCCAUCGCCCUGGUGCUCUCGGCGCGGCAUGGUCAACGUGGUCAAGGAAUGACUUCCAUCGGACAUGGACUGUACAUGGAGAGGCUGACAGCUGGGUCCACGGCCGCAGCAAGGAAGUGCCUCCUUAUUACGUAGAAAAUAAUUAUUCCUCCACCUGACAGCGGGGACCCACCAGACGGGCCAACAUAUUUCAUGAAAAAAAUGUUUCCCCCUGACUGCUGGGACCCACGAGCUACAUCUUCGCACGCAAGGAAGUGCGUCCGGGCAAAAAAAAUGAUUCUCCCCUGACUGCUGGGACCCACCAGCUACAUCUUCGCACGCAAGAAAGUGCCUGACAGUCGGGACCCACCUGGUCGAAGCGUAUGUAGCAUUGUCAUUCUGGUCGCGAACGUGUACGUACAUACUCGUGGAUGUAGAGGCGCGCACGUGUCAUAGUAGAGGCGCGCUCGUGUCAUAGUAGAGGCGCGCAUGUAGCAUGUACACGUACGUACAGCGGCCAAUGCGCAACAAAGAAAAUACGGCCACGUAUGUGUACAUAUGGGCGGGGUCUCGAAUGCCUACUCGCGCAUAUAUACGUACGGCCAGGGCUCGUGUGCAUGGCUUGGUCGGAACGGAGAAACAACAUCGUCGUCGUGUUCAUGGGGAGCCAACCGGCUGGGUCGGAACGGAAUGCGUCGUCGUGUUCAUCGGGAGGGCUUGGACGGAACAGGCGAUUGAAACGAGGCCUGGCGUACCGCAGAACGGAGGAAACGGCCUUGUGUUCGACCGGCCAUGUUUGAAACAGGAUCAUGUUCAUCGGGAGGGGUCUGGCGUACCGCAAAACGGAGGAAACGGACCCCCUACGGUCGAAACGGGGGUCCUGUUGAUCGGGAGGGGUGUGGCGUACCGCAAAACGGAGGAAACGUACCUCCUACGAUCGAAACGGGGGUCCUAUUGAUCAGGAGGGGUGUGGCGUACCGCAAAACGGAUGAAACGGACUUGUGUUGGAGCGCUACGAUCGAAACGGGGGUCCUGUUUAUCGGGAGGGGUGUGGCGUAGCAUAAAACGGGACUCCACGGGAUACUGUUCAUCUCCAUCGUCGACCUCCUCCAGCCUCCACGGGCUACCGUUCAUCCAGCCUCCAUGGGCACCCCUCCAUCGUCUACUAUUCAUCCAGCCCUCCAUACCACGGGGUCCUGUUCAUCCACCCCUCCACGGGCACCCCUCCACCAUCUACUGUUCAUCCAGCCCUCCACACCACGGGGUCCUGUUCAUCCAGAGGCAACACCAUUGCUCACUGUUCAUUCAACCCCCCUCCCCCCCGCAACACUCACUGUUCAUCCAAUCGAUCGGCUUCAGUUAGCAGCAGUAGCGAAGGAAUCGCUCGAUCGGGUUCAGUUAACAGCCAUCGAUCGAUCGCUCGGAUUCAGUAACACGUAGCCUGCAGUGCAAUCGCUCGGGUUCAGUAACACGUAGCCUGCAGUGCAAUCGCUCGGGUUCAGUUAGAGCCCAACGCCUCGCUCGGGUUCAGUUAGAGCCAACACCUCGCACACAUGCGCGUACGUGUACGAGAGAAACGCGCAUCGCUCGGCCCCCGACCUCCCAUCGUAACCGGGAACUCCCCGAAAUUUUCCUCCCCCUCGCUUCUACCACGGUUUUUUCCGUCAUGGACGGCCCAAAGAAUGUCAUGCAGCUGCAUCUCCGGCCCGCCCAGGACGAAAAGCCAAUUUUCUGUCAUGAUUUUUUAUCAUAGAAGUAGGAGCCCACCAUAUCUAUGAUGAUACCGGGUUUUGUCACAAUUAUCGUCAUAGAAGUGUCAUAUGUAUGACAGAAAAAAAAUCCGUUCGGCCCAAAAUGUCACGGAUGUGUCUUUUUUUGUAAUGAAGUUUAUAACAACAACUGCUACCAUUGAACUAUCAUUGAGCAUGAACAUAUUGGUCCAUUUCACUUGUAUACGUUGCCACAAAACGCUAUAGUUAGCACUCAAACUACUAUAAUUAGCUCAAAAAUAUUGUGUUGUCAAUUUCUUAGAGCAACUCUGGGAGAGUCGUCAAAAUGGCAAUCUUCAUAAUCAUUAUAGAGUGCACUUCAUAAAAAAUGAAAGCUGAAGCGGAAACGUGCAAACUCGGACUCCAUAUUAGCCGCCUCCAUAAUCGUGGGACGCACAUGUCAAUGUGACAUCCCCUUUUCCCCAACCUCUCUGCCAUCCCAUGUAAGGUAGGGGCACCUGAAGUUUCCUCACACCAUACGUAGCUGCCAUAUGGAGUGCACUCCAAAAAGAAGCCUCAAGACACCAUAUAUGGUGACUGUGAGGUAUGGAGGGUGCUCCAUAAAUUGCGGCGAUGCCUAACAAGAUGGCCACUCAGAGUGUUAUUUUCUGGCCAAAUUCGACAUAAUAUGCUUAUUUUAGCCAUCGGGCCGAUAUAACGACUUUGCUAGAGUUGCUCUUAGUACUAGAGUGGAUAUUCAUCAUAAUGAGUAUCAUUAUCGCAAGUAGGAGCUUCCAUGUGCUAGGUAAAACUAGCAAUGACAUUGUACUCUUCAAGCUCCACAUCUGCUCAUUUGUUGCUGCCAUGUGCCAUCAUCCUCGACAUCUACUUGGCGUUGUAGUACAUCAUCGUUUUCCUUUUGUUACCGCCAAAGAAUAUGCAACUUAUUAGUCUACAAAACAAAAUAAAAAAAGGCAUAUUGAAAUGUGCAGGUUGCAACAUACCUUAGCCCUUUUUUAUUCAUAUGGCAGAUUUAGUUGGUUGCACAUUUCCUUAUCUAGCUUGCCAAUCCAAGUUAUCUUCCCCUUUAAAUAUCUUGAUUGAUCCUCCUUUUUCUUAAUGUGUGCAUUUUUUAGCGACUCAUCUGGGGAGUUUACUCCCUCGUGUUCGCUCGCGGGAUCCCCACACGCGGAGGAAUCCGUCCCAGACAACCGACCACUUUUUUCAAGAGGACCAGGUGGGCCAUGGGAGAUGUGCACGAUCGAUCCCUUCCUUUUUUUCUCGUUUCUCCCUCAGGUAAUAAUUUUUAGGGUGGACCCCACUUAAACCUGCCUAAUCUGUAAGAUAUGUUAGCUUCCUCAUGUAAUCACAAUCCCCCCCCCCCAACCCGAUUUUCAGGGUGGGCCAACCUUUGCCUGCCUAAUCUCUCAUAUCUCUGAUUAUUAAAAGGACUGUGUUGUUUCCAAACUUUUGCUGCCUGAAACCGAGCACUGCAUCGUGCGCGCAAUAGCAUCUCCCCUCAUCCGUUUGAUGGACAUUUUACUCAACAGAAAUCAUAAGCACAACACUAAAAACGGUAGUCUCUAUUAAUUGGCCGAGCCCAAGAAAAACACCAAAAAGCCCUAGAUCAUCGUCUGUGCCAAAAGUAGUGUCAAAUGUUACAACACCACCAAAGUGUGAAGAAUCAUUUUAGCAUAAGCAUGUAAUAUGUUUGUUAUAUGAUCCCCGCAGUCAGCUGCAAAUCACAUUGGAAUAAUAGGUUCUCGACAAUUUCAUCAUGGAAAUUUUCAACGCACUUUACGCCUAACCAAAAAUCAACUCUCUCUACUGCUUGCUCUGCAAAUAUUUUUUGUGGUCAUGGAAACCAACAACAAGUGCAGCUAAGGCCAAGUAUAACCAUUUACCUAUUCAUGUCAUGAGCUUUCUUUUGCUCCUCUCGCCUCCAUUCAUGAUGCGAAGAAACCAAUUCAAGUGCAGACAUGUUUGUUUUCCAUCAAUUAUCAUGUGUCUUAGAUAAUCAAGAGAGGGAUAAUCAUGUGUCUUAGAUAAUCAUGUGGUCCUCAUGGCAUCAACGAGCACACAUGUCCUGUAGAUCAUCUUGCUAUGGAGAUCAGGAAUCUCUAUGGUAGGCACAAAGUGUCAUCAUCAUUUGUAGUGUUUACUGGGAUAUCGUUCAUACUCUUGCAAUUAUCUCUUGUUGUAUUUGAGCCACGGGAAUGAAAAAUAAUUCCCUUCUCGUAAACUAAGAAAGGUUUAGGUAUAUGUAUGAAAACCAACUGAAGUUUUUCGUUGCAACAUUAUUGAGGCAAAUAUUAGCAUACUUUUGAAGAGUAGUCACUAAAUAAGGGCGAGUAUACAUAUCAUGUUUGCUUUUCUAAACCGCUUCAAGAAAUUGUAUGUUAAUUGCUCCUCAUAUUUCUAAUAGAAGUAUGUAUGUAUUAUUUCCUUGUAUUUUGUUUACAUGUGUCUUAUCCAUGUUGUGUUGUUCAUGAUUUCAGCAUGUACAUAGGCUAUAAAUUGUGGUCAAGUGAAAGUGAUCUCAAGAUCGAAUCACUAACUACAUAUUAUACCUAUCUGAACCAAAUGUACAAGAGAUACACAAUAAUCCUCUACUGAAAUUCAUGAUUUACCUUCUACUCAAUUAAUACGCGUUAAAGUUCACUCCCGUGCUCAUAAAUGUACUGCCUACCGAUACAAAAUCAGUGGAAAAUGGUACCCAUCCCCAACAACCAUGCUGCACCAUGCUAAUAUCAAUAAUGUUGUCCACAUAUAUAAAGCUAAAUCUCCCCUAUGGCAGCAAGCUUGAAAACCUACUAGUUGACACAAAUUUCUAUUACUGACAUUAAAUAGCUCACAAGCGAGGAAAGUAAAAUAAGAAGCAGCCCUAGGGGAUGCAUGCCCCAAGAAGGAAAUUAGAUAAUGAUCGUGUGAUGUGUUCGGGAAUAGGAGACUUCGGAAAAGGAAGAGGCACUAGUAUGUGGAGCUACCAACGUUUGAUACUGUCAGGUGGCUUAGUUGUUAAUUGAGGGAUCCCUUGCCCUCUCUGUUCUAGUCGCGCAACUCGGUUGUAGGUGGACACAUCACGUCCUCUAGACCACAAUUCAUGAACCAUUUGUUUACUUGAUUGGUCUGUGCUCAUACAUGCACCUGCAACCCUAAAGGGCACUAUAAACACUGCCUCGCGGACCUGGUGCCCAAGCGACUGCCAUUUGCGCCUCCUUCCAAUUAUUUUGUCAGUGACUUGUACUGGGUCAUUGGAGCCAGAUUACAUGUUCCAGACCACUAACAUGUGUUGAACCAUACCUACAUGAACUUAGGCAUUUGUGCGUUCAUUGAUAAUGUCUAUUAUAGCUCGAUCUGGAAUGCUCUAGGAUACAUUGAGGAGAGAAGCAGGAUGCGGAAGCGCGACAGGGUGUGGGUUUGGUUUGUUUUAGGUUCACAUCCACGCCAUCGACACUAGCAGACGAGAUGAAAGAGCUCAACAAGAAUCUCCUCGCAAAUCACAGAUCAACACAGAUGCAAAAGCCAAUUAGAGUGGAGUCAGCCAUCAGGGCAUGGCCAAUGCGUCACCUCAACCUGAUGCUCCGCGGGGCCAGGUAGGCUCGGAUGUCACUGUGGUGGUUCGGCUAGUGCUCCACGGGUAGGUUCGGCUAGUGCACCAUGCUAAUAUCAAUAAUGUUGUCCGCAUAUGUAAAACUAAAUCUUCCCUAUGGCAGCAAGCUUGAAGACCUAUUAGUUGACACAAACUUCACUUCUCAUCUCAGCCCUGCAAAUCUGAUCCAACGGCCAAGAUCUCACAAAAGCCAAAACUGCCAGAACAGGUUACAAGUACAAAAGUUUUAUUAUAUACUCCCUCCGCCCCAUAAUAUAAGAUCGUUUGGGAAGGGGCGCAGGAAGUAGAAGAAAAAACUAAAGAGAUUACAGACAACAUUGCGAAGAAAAAAACAAAAAACUAAGGAGACAUCAUUUUAACACACUUUGCAAAGGAGAAGAUAGUACAAAAACAGAUUAUAAGAAACAACUAGACAAGGAUGGAAAAGUAAAGAGUGCAGUAGGGCUAGUGUUGAAAUGUUAUGGUAACAGGUGCUAAUAUCGAACAAUCACAUAUUAGCCCAUCUCACUCGUGCACUUAGCCCACAAAAUGAUAUAUUUACACCCAAACUACCAUAAUUACCUCUGAAAUGACAUGUUAAUUACCAAAUUCUUAAUACUGGAACGGAUCUUCGUCAUAAAGAGUAUUAUCGUCACAAGUAGGAGUUGCCAUGGGCUAGGUAAAAUUAUCAAUGACAUUGCACCCUUCAAGCUCCCCAUAUGUCCAUUUGUUGCUGCCAUGUUCCAUCAUCAUCCACGUCUACUUGACUUUGUGGUCCACUAUAACUUUCUUUUUGCUAUCGCAAAAGCAAAUGCAAUUUAUUAGUCUACCAAAAAUAAAUAAAGCAUAGUGAAAUGUGCAGAUUGCAACUUACCUUAGCUCCUUUUUCGGUUGGAUUUAGUUGGCUUGCCCGUUUUCCUCGUGCAAGUUGUCGAUCCAAGUUCUCUUCCUCUAUGAAUGUCUUGAUUAAACCUCACUUUUCUUAAGGUGGGAUCACUUAGCAUGUCAUCUGUUUGAUGCACAUUUGACCCAACAAAAAUAGUAAGCACAACACUAGAACCAGUAAUCUCUCUUAACUUACUGAGCCCAGGAAAACACCAUAAUGCCCUAUAUUUGCCGUUUGUGCCAAAAAUAGUGUCAAAUGUUACAACAUCACCAAAAUGUGAAGGGUCAUUUUAGCACAAACCUAUAAUAUAUUUCUUAUAUAUGCUAUGCACAAUCAAAUUAGAAAGCAAUAAUAGGUUUUGCGCAAUUUUGUCAUGGUGAUUGUCAACAUACUUUAUGCCUGACCAAACGCCAAUUCUCUCUACUUCUUGCUCUGCAAAUAAUUUUUGCGUUCACGGCAACCAGCAACAACUGUAGCUAAGGUUAAGUCUCGUCCUUUAUCUAUCCAUGUCAUGCUAUAGCUUUUUAUCCUCUUGCACCCAUUCAUGAUGUGAAGAAACCAAUUCAAGUGAAGACAUGUUUGUUCGCCAUCAAUUAUCAUGUGUCUUAGCCAAUCAUGAUAGGGACAAUUAAAUCAAAUGUGAAACAAUCAAAACAUAUAUCUAACAUGUUUAAUUGUACAUGACCAUGUAAAGUUAUCCUAGAAAUGUCAAUGAUGGAAAAGCAUCUUGAAACGUGGAAGAGCGUAGUAGGGAAUGAUAGGUGUUGAGGAAGAAGUGUGUUCCCCGGCUAGCAUAACAUGUCUUGUAGAUCUUGCUAGGGAGAGUAUGAAUCUCUAUGGUAGGUACAAAGUGUCAUCAUCACUUGUAACGUUUACUGGGACAUUGCCUAUACUCUUGUUGUGUCCGAAUCUUGAGAAUGAAAAAUAAUUCCCUUCCCGUAAACUAAGAGAGGUUUAGGUGUAUUAAGAUUACUUGUUUCUUAGCCAUGUUGGGCCAUUCACGAUUUCAACAUGUACAUGGCUAUAAGUUGUGGCCAAGUUAAUGCAAUCUCAAGAACGAAUUACUACCUACGCAUUGUACCUAUCUGAACCAAAUUUACGAGAGUGAUACACAACUAAUUCAUGAUUUUAUUUUCAGUCAAUUAAUACUCAUUUAAAGUUACCCCCAUGCUCAUAAAUGUAGUACUUACCGAUAUGAAAUCAUUUGAAAAUGGUACUCAUCCCCAACGACCAUGUUGCACCAUGUUAAUAUCAAUAAUGUUGUGCACAUAUAUAAUGCUAAAUCUCCCCUGUGGAACCAAGUUUGAUGACCUACCAGUUGACACAAACUUAUAUUGUUGCUAUUAAAUAGUUCACAAGCAAGGAAAGAAAAAUAAGAAGCGGCCCUAGGGGAUGCAUGCCCGAAGAAGAAAAUUAGAUAACAAUUGUGUGAUAUGUUCGGGAUGGGAGACUUUGACAAAGAUAGUGGUACUAGAAUGUGGAGCCACCAGUGUUUGAUACUGUGAGGUGGCUCAAUUGUUAUAAACACUACCUCGCGUACCUUGUGCCUAAGCAACUGCCAUUUGCACCUCAUUUCAAGUUUCCUUCUAGUAAAUAGUGGGUCACUGCAACAUGACCGCGUGUUCUAGACUUCUACCAUUUGUUCCACCAUACCUAAGACACACUUUGGCAUCUGUGCCUUCAUCUGUAAUGUAUAGAGUAGCUUGAUGUGGAAUGCUCUAGCAUACAUUGAGGAGAAGAGCGGGAUGCAGAAGCGCAACAGGGUGUGGAUUUGAUUUGCUUUGGAUUCAAGAUCUAGUGCAUGGUUCCUCUAGGAGCUUACAAAUCUUGGCUUAGCUAGGCACGCCUACAUCCACAUAGACAAAUCAAUAUUGGUUAAUUAACAUAAUCUUUUAAUUUGCAUCAUGGACCAUGGCACUUAGCUAGGAAUCAAUGGUUUUAUGCGCAACUACAACGUUUCAUCCUUGCGGUAUGCAAAAGAAAAAACUGUUUUAUCGAUAUAAUACAUACUACACAAUAUGUUUGUGCUCCAAAGCAUCAUGGCAAACCACAUUCUUGCUAGCUAGUUUGGUCAGUAACAUGAGUUUCUAGGACAAUUGUUGAGUCAACACAAUCGUGUUUACACGUCAAAGCUAUAGAAGUUCGUAUGAAGGCAUGAACCAAGAUGUAUUGUCGAAGACGUUGAGUACUUUGAAAAUGAUAAGAUGUACUGUAUAAUGUAAAUAAUCAAUGAAAUCUUAUGUUUUCUAAAAAGACAUGAAUUGUACAUUCCGAUGACAAGAUGUUUGUGUUCCAAAGCAUCAUGGCAAACCACAUUCUUGCUAGCUAGUUUGGUUAGUACCAUGUGUUUGUAGGACAACUGUUGAGUCAACAUAAUCAUGUCUACACGUCAAAGCUAUAGAAGUUCGUAUGAAGGCAUGAACCAAGAUGUAUUGUUGAACACAUUGAGUACUUAUGAAAUGACAAGAUGCAUUGUACAAUGCAAAUUAAUUGAUAAAAUCUUAUGUUGUCUAAAAAGAGAUGAAUUGUAGAUUCCGAUGAAUCGUUAACUAAAGUUGAAAUCAACAUUUCAAAGCUUUGCUUACAGUAACAUGAACACACUACUGGAACUAACUAAAGUUGCAUAUAUUCGCUAAACACAUUAUACGAUCCCCCCAAGUAAAGAAAACACUAGUAUAUGAAAUCAUCUCUACAAGCAAUUAAUGUAUGAUAUGAGCUCAAUAUGAUAAAUAUUGUAGUACAUGAUACAACAACUUUCAACCAUACAAAGGUACUAUAUGCACCGGCCUAUUGGCACAAAUAAAAAUAAUCAUAAAACACGAAAGCGGAUCACGAAGAUAUAUUGUUAACUCGCACACAUGAUGUAAAAUAAAUAGCAGUGAGUUCUUCCAUGCUUGCAUGAAAUCUAUGGAAAUGAAGGGCAAGCCAACCCCUCUCAUUGUUGUACUAUUCGCCUAAAUAGGCAUCAUAAGCUCCAUUCUUCCUUCACUCAUGGAGAUCAUUCGACAAACUUCUGGUAUCGUGUAAAGUUCUUGAAAUUAGUAAUACUCAGAAAUAUGAGACAUCAGGAAAGUUCUACGUUAUACCACAUGGCCUCACCGAGCUAGUUUUUUUGAGGUCGCAUGAAAAACCACAAGAAGAAGCACAAGCAGCCCUUUGGCGAGCAAUGUGACCUUAAAACCUAUGUUGUCGAUAUUGUUUGAUUGGCUCCGUCCACUUUACGGAACAUAUUCCAAUUCUCCAUGAUUUAGAGGGGGAAAAAACAUUAGCAUAUGGAAAAUGCAAAAUCCAUAUGACAACACAAUCAAAAGCUGUAGUAGGACUGAAAUUCAUUGGGUGCUUAGGCUCAUGUAGCAUCCAAGUCUUUAUGUGAUAGAUAUAGUCAUAAAAUUUAUCACUAAAUGACUAACUUUGGGUGUAUUUCUCUCCAUUACUGGUUGAAAUACAUUUUGGUGCUUAUGGUGUGUUCGGAUCAUAGUCUUGUUUCUCAGCACUGAAAUAGUAUCCAACAUUUGCCGGUCAUUCAGCUGCAUUCUCUCUCUUUUACACAUCGCAGAGAAAUGCAUCAACACCUCUCAUUCUUUCUGCCGAGUGACUCUUGGGCCUGCUGAUGCAUCAACAAGAUUGAUCCAUCUUCCCUCUUUCCACAAGUAUUUUUGCAAUUUCAUCACAUAGCUGCGUAAGGCAUCAGAUAAACAAUGCAUUUUUAUUUAUUUAUUUAUUUAUUUCAUGCGGCCUAAACACGUCACAUGCCCACAUGUGAGCUUUCGACUUUGCCGCGCCGUUUUCUUCUUGCCAUUGUGCAUGAAGUUUACUUUCCAUUAUAUCUCUUUUUUAGGAUUCUCAUUAUAUUUCUUAAUAAUGUCAUCCUGCCACUUAACAGGCCAAUAAAUGAAAAUAAAAUCCACAGUAUAACAGUAACUUAUUAUCUACAAUCUUGUUCUGUUGUCACAAACCAAAAUUUAGUUCACAGUACAUAACAGAAGAGGUAACAUAAUAACUUGGAAAAAACCAAUGUAGCAAGAUCCAACCUACUGGUGAAUGUUUCAGAUAUUUAAGGAGAUGGCAGAGCAGAACUUGCACUCUUUUAAAUUUCUUCUCCCCUAGUUGUUCCUGAUGGGCAUGUAGACUUCAGAGCCACUGACCAGUUUGCCUAAGCUUUUGAAUACAGCUCCCCAACAUGGAGCAGCUAUUUGGCUGAAAAAUCUAAUAAUAUACAACCACCAGAAAAUUGAUGCCCGUGGUACAUGUAUUCGGCUGUCAAUCCAACCUGAGCGUUUCCAACCCCAGAGAGCUUAGUGAUACAGUAGAUUACAGAUCUUUUACAUGUACCGCUGACAACUCGCAUCAAUACUAAUUUCAUUUAAAAAAAUUAAGCAGAGAACAGAUCUUUUACCUUUUACAUGUACCGCUGUCAAGCUGACAACUCGCAUCAAUAGUAAUUUCAUUUAAAGAAAUUCAAGCCGCGAACUAACCUGUGAUAAUAGACGUUCCUGUUGACUACGACUAUGAAAAAUCUCAAGAUGAAAUGUCAGCUCAGUAUCUCGAAGAUGCUCAUAGGGGUAGGAUCGACUACAACUACGAAAAAUCACAAGAUGACAUGCCAACUCAAUCUCUCCAAGGUGCUCACAGGGGUAGGAUGUCUGUACUAUGUUAAAAAAAAGUUUCAGGCCAGGAACUGCAUCUGAACCUCCAUCGAAGGCAAAAAACUGCCAACCAAUCACGGAUCAACACCAAUGCAAAAACUAACCAGACCAGAGUUAGCAGUUCAAUCUACCCGGCAUUUUUCCUCUGGCAAUUUUUUUACCUAAUCUUUUAACAAAAAAGAGUUUACCAACACAAGCAAUAAGCAUCACUCAAAAGAAACCUCUCGAGAACAAGGCCAUCUGGAUCCUAGUCUGGAGUUAGGGAAAGGGUCUGAAUUUGCAAGGCACAUACUCCAAUGCUCCGACAAGCACAAAUUGAAAAGUAAACAUAUGUUUAUGCAAACAAAAGAUGACAAAAAGUCCAAAGCAAAUAUGCUUCAGGUUCUCUUCUGUUCUUCAGAAGAAAUAUAGCCACGGCGCCCUACACAAUAGUGUUGUUUUAAUUAUUGAGACAGACAAAAUAGCCUCGAGAGUACAGCCAGCACAUAUAGGUAGAUUUAGCAACAGGCAUCGCCAUCAGGGUAAAGGUUCCAACCGACCGCAAACCUGAAACGGACGUGUGGAAGAUCUAGAAUCAGUGCCAUGAAAAAUGGUGCGGAAACGAGGUUUAGCGGGCAGUGAGUUCAGUCUAGAUGCCUGCUCUACCUCAAGGUCUUGGGCCUCAGGGGUUGAGGUCCUUGACGAUGAAGUUCUGGCGGCUGAUGGGGUUCAUGAUGACCGGCGGGCCGGCGACGCGAGGCCAGGCCUGGAACCUCUGCUCCGUCGCCUUCAA
rnacentral:lncRNA from 1 species